GAUAAGUUUAGACCAUAUCUUGCAUCCUCCUCCAUUAAAAAAUAAAAAAAAUAAAAAAAUAAAAAAAUAUGCAAAUGUGUGUGUACUGUAAACUCCAAGGUGAUGUAAAAUUCCAUCCAAAAUUAAAAACAAUGGCAUUCAAGUAACAAAACCUUGUAUGUUAGCCCAAAGGUUGGGUAAUCCAGGUUUCGAUGAUAAAAAGCAAGGUUAAGGUACUAAUGGGUUUUUAGUUAAGUGCAUAGCUACUCAUGAUUGCAACUAUUUAUAUCAACAAAUCAAGCAUGCUAACAUCUCCAAGAAGCUAGUUAAGGCUUAGCUCAAUUCAACAAAGAGAGACAUCAUGUAAGACAACUGUGAAGACUCAAGUGAAGACCUAGUUAGAGUAUAAUUUUUAUUUAUUUUUUGUAUGUAACCUCGGUGAAGAUGCAACUAAUGAGAAUGAUAAAGACCUUAUAUAAGUGAUAGUGGACCACUUUGAACCUCAUUUUUCAAAGAAAAUAACUUCAAAGUUUUUAAGAGGUUAAGAGACUAAACCAAGACCUUUCGAACUUGAAAAUUAGUCUUAAAUUGGUUUAAGUCCUUAAAAGGUGAAUUCAUAUUUUAAAAAACUUCAGAGCAUCAAAAGUUCCCAAAAUGAAUACUAAAAGUUGCAAAUGCAUUGCCAUAGCAUCUGGUUGACCUAUUGAUCAACAUAUUGCCCUUUCCUCGCUGAAAAUUGAAAAAUCAUGAAAAAAUUGUUAGCAUCUGCCAAGAGGUUGAUCAAGUUGUUGACCUAUUGUGCAAAUGGUUCACCUAUUGAUCAAUCUGUUCAAUGGAUUUGCUCAUCAAUGGGCAGCUGCAAUGCAUUUAAUGCUUGAACAACUAGUCAAGUGGUCAAUUUAUUGAUUGACCUCAUCUAAGGAACAUGUGCCUAAUGGCUAGUUUGACCCCAAAUGAUAUAUGAAUGAUGCCUUAGACACAUUUAAAGCCAAUAAAAUAUUUGCAUAUCAUUCAUACUUCAUUGAAUACCCUUUUUAAAGACUUUUAGAGACCUCCAAGCUUGAACUUGCCAUAUCUCAUUAAAGCACUUCUCUUUAGCCAUAAAUUGCUUACCUACUCUUGAGAGAGUUUUUAUUAUAUUCAUUACCAUUUGUAUUACUGUGAGGUUGUGCAUAAGGUUUGUGUAUAACACCUUGAAGUUUGUGAAGGUGCAUUAAAACAUAAAGAAUCCAAAUGUAAAGAAGGACAAGAAGAGUCUUGGUUGAGAAGACUCUUUUAAUCAAUCAAAGCUUGUGGAAGACCUAAGAGGCCACAAACAUGGCCGAUUGUGCCAACCAUGUUAACAAUAGUUGUUUACAUCUUAUCUAUUCUUUAUUUCUUUAAAUUCAACACUUGGCAUUAUUUAGCAUUUAUUUUCACAUCUAUAGCUUGCAAAUUUAUAUAAAAUUUAAAAAGAGACCAUCACCCAAUUCAAACCCCCUACUCUGAUUACCUACAUUGCCACAUUAUACACAAGAAAAAAGGAUUACACCAUAAAUACGAACCCCCCACCCCUUCCAUAUAUAUAUAUAUAUAAUGUUAACAAUGAUGUCAUUCAAGUAACAAAUCCUACAAGGGGAAAUUUUCUUAUACGACCAUGUUGUACACCUACUACUGUAAGGAAAAAAAAAAAUGUGUCCAUGCACAUGAAAGCACCAACUUCCGCAUAAUCCUUUCAUGCUUCAUAGCAUGGUGAAAGAUAACAAGAUAAGCAUCAGGCAUGUACAACUGAAGAUUUGAAGCCAAAACGCAACAAACCAUCCAAUGUCCAAUAUUCAUUUUGCCUCCAAGGAAUGCUCAAGUAACAAGAUGAAUAAAAUUACAAGACCUGGCAUCAAAGAAGCUAUGGGACCUUUUGUUAACAGCAAUGAAAAUGGCUCUUCACAAAUUCACAUUUUAUGAAAAUGAAAAAACGCAACAGUUAAAGUGUUUGCCUUUUUUAGAAGGCAAAAAAAAUCAUAUUCUAACAUUUUCUAUAUAUAAUCCCCAUUUUGAGGACAUGUUUUCAAAAGUUGUUUUUGUAAACAUGCUAACAAACAUGUUAUUAUGUCAUUUCAAUGUUUUAUGCUUUGAACAAUGCAAAACAGUUUUCAUCUAUUUUUUCUUUGGAUAAGCAAAUGAAUAUCCUAAAAGCACUAACAAAAAAAGGGACACACCUAGGACACAAGAAGUAUACAUCUAAAAGCAAAACAAGAAACAACCAACAACCACAACCGCAUUCUAAUUACUUAGACGACAACUACUCAAGGAAGUCUAUCAAGGAGGGGGGAAUCAACUUAAACAUCAUCUUGAAGAAACCCUCGAGACUAUAAGUACAGGUUAAAAAUAAAGGAAUCCUUAAGAGAUAGGUUGAGCGUUGUAGCCCUUCAAAGGUUCUGUGAUUACAUUUCUGCUAGCUUGUGCAAAACAGGCAAAGGAGGAGGUGCUCUCCAAGCCUUUCUUCUCUUUUUGCCUAUAAAACUCUCAUGCCAACUCAUUAGCAAUUUUUUAAACCGAAGAAAAGAGAACAACCCCCUUGCUUUCCCACAAUGGAUGAGUAGAUGACUUGUCAAUUCUUUUGAAAACUCCCAAGUCCUUCUAUUUCUUUCUUUUGGAGUCCUUCAAACUUCAAGCUGCUUGAAUUCUCAUGAUUAGGCUUCUCAUGCAAAAGUAUAAUAUUUGCUUAGCCUCCUCAUUGUCCAGACUACUGUUGGUUUCAGUUUCCACCAUUCCUAUUGAGGGAUUGUGGCUUCCCAUACAACUUCCAGCAUAUCUCCUUUAUAUGUCUUGGUUUCUUGCCAUGAGUACAUUAGAGGUUAUUCUCAUUACUUGCCUACUUGGUAACCUCUCCUCUACUAGAAUUUGUGCUAGAGAUGAGACUGCUUUGAGAGCACAAAACAGCAAGGACAGACCCUUCACUUGCUAAAGUGUCCACAUUAUACUCCUCCUUUCUUCAAUCCUUAUGAUUGAGAAUACCUCAUUCAAAGAUGUCAAUGAUUCCUUCCUAAGAACUUGAACACAUACUUGAUCAUAUGCCAUGUUAAGUCUAACCAAUAAUUCAAAUAUCCGCUCUCUUUCAAUAAACAUAAGAAACAUAGCAGCAUCCUCCCUAUACUUCAUUUCAAGAUUUUGAUAAUGGUCAAAUUCAAACUACAACCCUUACAAUGGCACUAUAGUACUCAAUUAUAGAUAAAGUAUCUUAUUUUGUAGAGUGAACUUGACCUUUAUCUCAUAAAUCUAAACUGCGUCUUUGACUUUAGAAUAGAUUUGUUUUACCACCUUCCAGAUUUCCUUUAUCAUGGUUAGGAACAUUCACAUUCCACUCAUUUCAGGUUGUAUCAUGUUCCACAGCCAGAACAUGAUCAUGGAGUUAUCCUCAUCCCAAGCAACAAACUUGGCAUCAUCUUCAACUUGGUGUUAGUCCAAUCAAAUGGUUGAGCUUGCCUGUUUCCGUCAGGUGCGUACAUGUUGAGACCAGACUAAAUACUUUCAGCCAUUAAGUCUGAACAAGGGAUGAAGAUUUUGAUAUUCAUUUAUUAGUGGUUGAGUGCUUGAGGUCGAAUUUUCCGAGAUUUCCAACAUAGUAACAACAAAAUAGAAACAAAUCAAUGGUAAAGAAGGCUGUUGAGAAACCAAAAAUGGUGAUAGCAAUGCAGGUAGCUAAAGGCAUAGAAUAGCAACAAUGAAAGACAUUGGAAAUCGGUGGUAACAAAGACCACCAGGAAAAAAUUAGAAGAAAACUUAAAGACCUUGAACAAGCCCUAAUACCAUGUGGAAAAGAAUAAUUUUUGUUUAUUCCAUUUCUAAUAAAAUGAUACAUCAUUUAUAGUGUACAAUCCAACAAAAAUAAUGUGACUAAGUGCUUGUUUGGAUACACUUUCUGUUUUCUAUUUUUAAAAAUAGAAAUUAGUAUAGUAAUUUCUUUAUAAAAUAUAGUUACCCUUAUAUAAAAAGUAUGAACUAACUUUAUAUCUUUAAAAAUUACUUAAAAUUUUUUAAAUUUAAUACCUCAAAUUUCUUAAACAGUUUUUAAAAGUCGUUAUCUUGUUUAAGUCUCAAAGAGUACUUUCAUUUUAUAUAGAAAUUACUAUCAUUUUUUGUUUUUAAAAAAACAAAAAGCAAGAAGUGUAUCCAAACAAAACCCAAAUUACACAAAUUCAAAAAGUAGACUAAUUCCUAGAAAACCUCUACCCCAAAAAUAAAAAAUAAAAAAUAUAUAUAUAUGGAUAUACAAUCUCGAAAAUCAGGAAUUAUGUAACUAUACAAUCCUAAAAAUCAGAGGAUUAAUUCCCUAGCAUGUCCCAUCAAAUCUCAAAAAUUAAGGAGUUAAUACCCUAUCUUCAAUUAGAUUCACAACACUUCUCCUAUUACAUGCCUCAAACCUUGUCCUCGCCUUAAAAACUCCUCACAAGCCAACACCAUAACCUUUCCUCCCAACCCGAAAGCACCAUCUCUAGCUUUUCCCUGAACUUUCCUACCAUGACCUUUCCAAAAGGGAUAUCCCUCCUCAAAAAAAUUUUCAUUUUACUACCUAAUAAACCCUAUGACUCAAGAAUGGAUUUCCUUAUAAUGAACUAACCUCCUAGAUUGCUUGAACAAUAGAAAAAAUGUGAAGUCUAAAUUAUUGUAAAAAAGCGACUUCAUAUAGAUUUUACAUAAAAUGUAAAAUAUAAAUUUUCAUUUACAAUAAAAGAAUUAAUUAUUUAGUGUCACCAAUUAAAAAUAAAAUAAAAUCUAAUGCCUCCACAAACCUGCCCAAUAUAAAAGCCACCUUUGUUCCUCAUUUUGAUCUUUCCUCUCGAUAGCCUUGAAUGUAGAGUACACAGGCAAAACAAUACCCACAGAACAGCUGCAGAACUAAACAAUGAAAAUUACAUAUAUAACCAAAUAAUGGUGUUAUGCUGCUAUUUCUUAGUGGAUAAAGUGCAAAUACAAUCUUUUAUUUUACAAUCAAGGCUAUUGCAAAAUCCAAAGAAGUUUGAAACUUUCUAUUACAUAACCGUUUCAACUAGUAUUUAGGUGUUUCUACUUGAGCUGUACGAGAUAAAAUUCUCAUAUACGGUUCUCAGAGGGGGCACCCCCUUGGUUUACCUAUCUCAAUAAAGUUAAUGAUUGGUUCUUCAGGCAAUUGCAGAUGAUAUAACUAGUAAAUAUGUUCCUUCUCAUGUCAACAUAUUUUACUAUCUAGGAGGAACUACACUUGUUUUUUAGGACAAGUAGCUACGGGAUUUGCUAUGAAUUUUUACUAUUGUGUGAUGAUUACUGAGGCUUUUGCUUAUGUUCAAUACAUAAUGACUAAAGAGAACUUCGGUUGGUUAAUCCAAUCAAUUCAUCGAUGGUCAGCAAGUAUGAUAGUCCUAAUGAUGAUCCUUUACGUAUUUCAUGUAUAUCUCACCGGUGGAUUUAAAAAACCUCAUGAAUUGACUUAGGUUACAGGGGGUGUGGUUCUGGCUGUAUUGACCACAUCUUUUGGUGUAACCAGUUAUUCUUUACCUAGAAACCAAAUUGGUUAUUUAGCAGUAAAAAUUGCAACAAGGCUAUUGCAAAAUCCUAAUAAAAAAACUAGUAAUAGUUAAUGUGAUUAAAAAAAAUAUCAAUCCAAAGCUCACCAUGCUGUUCGAAUUACAAUAUUGUUAGAACCAAGUGGGCAAAGGAGCAAUCGCAACCCAACCUGCACCAGAUGAAUUAGGUUUUCAAUUUCAAAAUCUUUCGCACUUUUAAUUGACAUGACAAAUUCCAUUCAAACACAAAAAGAAUGACUCAAGCACUCCAUCUGAGUUCUAAAUCAAUUCAGACAAUGAUCUUAUUACCUCCACAAUCUGCAUUAUACGUUUUAAUUAGAACAUUGACGCCAUUUAAUAAUAUUUAACUUUCUUCUCAACAAAUUAAGCAAUCACAUUAUCAUCCUCGACACAUAAAUUUCUUCAUUUCCAAUUUCCAGACUUCAACAAACAGAAUAAGCCCGUGCAACUUCCACUCUAGCUCAAUAAGCCUAAUCACUUUUUCACAAAUUUUGGUGCAAGGCACAAACAAAAACACAUACUAUCCAGCAUUAAAGCUGUCAUUGUUACCGCGUAGAGGAAAAGGGCUUCUUGGGUAUUAAAUGGGAUAGCUGAGGAUAACCAUUUUGAGGGAAUCCCAGUACAUUCCACAUGUUUCCAUCUACAAAACUGUCUUAGAUUUUUUGUUUUUUCUAUUUUUUCCUUCUUUUUUUUCCUUCACAUUUUAUAAAUUUUAUUUCUAAGAUCAACUUAGUUCCAUUUAUUCAUAUAUAUUGUGAAAAGAAAAUUUAAAAAAAGAAAUGUUGCAUUUUUUGAGAUCUACUGGAAUCUCUUUUUAUGCUUAUUAUAUCUAUAGACAGAAAACAACUUCUUCUCAAAAGCAACUAGCUCCUCAGUCUCCAUUUUUUUAUCCAAAAGCAGACAAAGUCAGCAGUUCUACACAAGUUUGUUCCAUGAGUUUCCACACCCAUACAGUCUCUUUUUGCCUGAAACCUUAUCUUCAUUGUUUCCAUACUUGGAGUGAAGAAACAAAUUUGAAUUUGGCAUCAUUAGUUUAUAAUCGAAUCGCAUAGCAAAUAAAUAAUCAUAAAAAAACGCCUAAUUAAAAAAAAAAUGAAAUCGGAUGAUCAAAAAAAUGAAACCCUAACCGACAAGCAUGAAAAGAAAGGUAGGCAUGGGAAGGGAAGAUUAAAGAUUAUUCCUGACCUCCCUCGCGACGGUGGAUCCCAGAAGAGCCAUUUCAAGAAUGUGCUCUGAUGAUUGGACCAAACACUAACGUUUUCGUUCCUAUCAUCAGACACAGGUGAGGGUAGAACGACGUCGUAUUGGUGAUGAUGCUCCUCCACCUCGGAAAAGAUUCAGGGGAGGGAACGAUGGAGAGAGAGCGUGUGGAAGCGCUAUUAUUGGAAAAUUCUGUGGUCCUCGGUCGCUCUCUGUCAAAUCACUUCACUCUCUGCAUACGCCCUACACCCUACUUUCUCACGCCAUUCGAAAAUUGAGACCUCCGAUUCAUUGGGCGAUGCCGUCUGCCACAGGUCUAAUUUAACUCCUGUUCGCAAAGUGGCUUGGUUGAUGGUUCACAGCUGAAUUAGAAAAUGGGCACCAUGUCACCACUUGAAGAGCUUUUUUUUAUUGUUAAAAUUUAAUUUUUAAUGAAUUUUAUAUUCAAAGUUUGAGGAUAGAAUAUUUUCCACACGGCCAUAAGAUGAGUUUUAAGAAAUAAAUAAAUAUUUUUUAUUAAAUAUUUAUAAUUUCUGAAGUAAUAUUAAUAAACAAGAUCAUAUAGCUAUGAGCAAUAUUCGUGUAACAUAAAUAGUUAUGUCAAGUUUCGUUUUUUUGUUAUAUUAACAUGUGAACAAAUAUAUAAUGGCACAUGUGUUGUCGUCACAUUGCAUAUUGACAAGUGAUAACAAAUGUAUUGUUGCACAUGUGUUAUGUCAACAAAGAAAUAAGCUUGAAUGAAGUAAAAUGAUAUGAUUAAGUGAAUUAUUGUCUCUAGUUUAAAAACAUACAUCAUUUGUUCUUCAUCGAUGUUUUGUUAGAUAAUGAAUAUAAGCCAUUGAUUUUAGGGUAAAGUUGUCACAAACCAUGUAAUAGUGAUACAAUAUCACAAUUAAUAUGCUACAUGUUCCUUAUGAAGUGAUUUGACGUGGGGUAAGGUUUUAUGUAGGUUAUAAUUAUGAAAUGACGUUAGAUUGUAUAAAAUGUUCAUUCUAUCACACUUAAUGCAUUACCCAGUUCCUCUAUACACGGGUCAUGUAAACAUGUUAUAAUUAUGAAGUGAUAUCGCAACCAAUGCAUUACUUGUUACUUAUGAAGUUGGGAGUAAGGUUUUACAUAUAAUGCCAUACUAUGAUGAUAAUACAGAAGAUUCAUUCAAUCACAAUUAAUUUUCUUAUGGAAUUGAUUGAUGUAUGAGAGUCAUGCAACAUAUGAGGGUCGUGCAAUGUAUGGGGGAGUCAGCAUUAAGACCAUCGGUACUCGUUCAUCCUCGAUCAUCUUUCCUUAGGCCACCAUGUACAUGUCUUGAUGAUAUUGUAGUCUCCCUUUAGCAUCUCUUAAAGUGGGAUGAUUGGUUUUAAGUUAUUAUCAUUUGUAUUUUUAUACUAAAAUUGAGUUACAAGCACUUAAGAAAAUGGUCACAUGAGCCUUUUUUUUUUUUUUUUUUUUUGCCUCUCUAAUUUAUACUUUGACAACAACAACCAAUGGAUGUUCUUAUUGUCUACAAUAAAAAUAAGUUGCAACCAAUUACUUCCAUGCAUUUUCAAAAACAAAAAGACAGAGAUGACAGAUAGCUCGACCAGUAGGGUUGACCAGGAGUGGUCUAAUCUCUGGAGCUAGUUAGUUUAGAAACCAGACAUGGUUGAAGAGGACAGGGAGUUCUAAUCCAAAUAGACACCGACUUACAAACUACCAUACAUAAAAACAAAAAAACCCGGUCGCCCUGCAUAUGUUAUAUGUUUUUUUAGUCCCACCCUAAGCCACUUCCCCACUACUACCACCGCCAGUGCCGCAAAUGGUCACAACCACCUCCAUGCUGACGUGGCCACCAAUGGUUUCCCGUGCCAGCAAAGCAACAUCUCAGCCUGCCGCUUUGCCACGUGGAAGCCCCUUACCUGUGACUUCCCUAGUAGGCACUCUGCUUGAGACUCCGCGAACUGGCUCCACUGCACCUGCCCCAACCCCGCGCCGGAAAACAGCUCCCUCCACGCCGUCACCCGCCGUCCCACAUCUCCCACAGCCGCAAAUAUCUUCGGCUGAAUCAGGGACAUCUCAAUCUUACGAACCCAAUCACCGCCGGCGCCAGCGCCACCAGCGUCCAAUGAUUCCAGCAUCGCUGUGUAGAAUUCAAGGCCGUUGAUGAAAUUCCGGUUAAACGACGUCGCUCCGCUAUCGGUCCACCCUUCGCCGUCUACAAACACGACAACUUGUGGGGAAAUCCGCCGGAGAUCGCAGAAAAAUCCGGCGAUAUUAUUGGUGGUACCGAGACGUCGGAAUAUCGCCGGCGAUAUGUUAACAGCAGUCUUUUCUCCGUCGAUGAACUUGACCGCUUUGAAUGAUAGAACCUCGAAAGUAGGAAUCAACACGAACUCAAUACGGAAUUCUAUUUUGAGCUCUUGAGCGAACUGAAACAAAUUCUCUUUGAUCAAUCUGCUCUCAACUGCGUACUCUUCGGGCACGACAGCGGUGAUUCGAAGAACAGGAGGAUUGACUUUGCAAGCCUCUGACCUGUCCGCAAUCUCUUUCAUGAAAGAGGCAUACUGACCUCCGAGUCCGAUGUCGAAAUCUAUGAUAUGAAUGAAGAGUGAUCCAUCGACAGCUUCGAGGAGUGCUUGGCUGGCGGUGAAGUUGGAGAACAUAGCGAUAGGAGAGAUCAUGGAGAAGGCCUUGUACGCUUUUAUUGUCUGAACAAUCUCCGAUGCCGACGAAUGAGACUUCCGGUUGGAGCCCGUUAGGAGAGAGUGGAGAGCUUCUUUGAAGUAGAAGGCAGCUCUCUGGAGUGGUUUUCCCACCGGAGCUCGCAACCGUUGAUUGAGCCGCGCCAAUAUCGCCUGAGCGAGCUGUGAGUUGUUGGAUCCAAAGCACUCGGCUGCUCGAAUAAGCUCCUCCACAAACUCGGAGCCAACGUUCCAGUGGAAAGAGUUGAGAUUGAAGUUGUGGUUUUGAUUGGAAGAAAUUUCAGAGAGAGUAAAAUCGAAAGGAAGAAGCUGAGUAUGAUAGAUGGGUUGGGAAGGUGGGAGGUCAGGGAGAGGGAGGUGUGGGAAUUGAGGGUCGCAGGGACCCAACUGAGGAACACUCCCGAAGACAGGGGCAGAGUCAUCACGCAAUACGAAAUCCCACACGGUAGGAUCCCAAUCAUCCAAAUUAUGCAUCCCAUGGUCUUCCCACUGAAAACCAGGCUCCUCCGACAGUGGCAACGACACGUCGGAGACGGCAGUAAUUCCUGGAAACGUGGCCGCCUUAUCCGCCACAGGGCUAGGGCUGCGGCGAAGGUCGAGAACAGAGGUAGGCUCGUAGCACACGUUGAUAGUAUCAGUAGCAGGGCUCCGAAAAGCGGUAUUCCGGGUGGUAUUGUUACAAGAAAGCGGUUUAGGGUUUGGAGAAUGGUUGUUUUGGGCUGGAACUGGGACUUUCAUCGCUAAGGGGAAAGCGAGAAAGAGAAAGAAAAAUAAGAGAGGCAAAGAGCCGAUGGAAAGCUCUCACUGCUACUCCUUUUUUGGGUCUCAAACUCCCGAUGGAAGAGGGGGAAUGAAGGGGGAGGGGAGAGGGGCCCUUUUAGGGGAUUAUAAUUGCCUCCUUUUUAUCUUUGCGUGCGUGCAUGUGGGUAUGGCGUAUGGGAGUAUGUCAUGGGAUGCUGAGGAGGAAUGUCAUGUCCAAUUGCCCAAUUGCCCAUCCUCACAUCACACUCCACCCUCCCACUGCCUGCACACAUCACACGGCUGAUCUCUUCGAAGCUUCUCCCUCACGUAACUUUUUAAUUAAAUAACUUUAUUUAAGAAGCAGUUUUCCCUGUUUAUCCUUUCUCGAGUCAGGUUCUUGAAAAAUACCGAAAAAAACGAAAGAAAAAAAAAAUUAACUUUUUUUAGUUUUAUCAAAAAUAAAAAAUAAUUAUGAUUAAAAUUAAUUAAAAAUUUAUAUAUAUAUUUCAAAUUUAUAUAUAAAAAAAAUUAAGAAAAAUAAUUAAUAAUUUAUAUAUAUAUUUUUUUCUUUCUUUCCAUUAUUUUUUUACUUAAAAUUUUUAGAGUCACACAUGAUAAAAUUUCUUAAAUUGUGAUUUAAAAUAUUAUAAAAAAAUUAAAAAUAUUUUAAAUUAUUCUAAAAAUAACUUAAUUUUAGAAUAAGUUUUUAAAAAUUUAUUUUUAUCAUCAAUUUAUCAAAUUUAUUUUCUUAAAAAAUUGUUUCUAAUAUUAAAAAACAAUUUAAAAUGAUGUUUUGCAAAAUAAAAAUUUUAUUUACGAUUUUGAAAUAUUUUUAACCUAUUUAGUGAAAAUCCUGAAAAGUAACUUUAAAAUGUUAUUUGAAAUAAGCAUAUUUUUUAUUUUUAAAAAGAAAAUUUGGUUUUGGUGGAUAAAAAACUCUUUUUCGAAACCGUUAACAAAGAGAGCGUAAAAUUUACAAAACAUGGAUAACAAGGUUCAUUACACCACCAUGAGUUAGGGUUGAGUUGCAAUCAUUAGGAAUGGACAAAAACUAAUCCAUAAAGACUUAAAAAGACAAACAAGUCAAAUGUGGGCGUUAAAGCUCCACAUACCACAUACACCUCUCCACCUGGGUCCCUCUAAAGUCUUAAAACAGAACCAAAUACGAACGCCACCGCCCUACUUUUUCUUCUCCCCCAAACACAAUCGCACAAACUUGGCUUAAAAGAAACCCCCUUACGUCUAAACGUGCUUUUCCAAAACUCUUACUUUCAAACCCUGCUUUGCGGAAAAUACGAGAUUGAGAUUUCCCCUGGGAUAAACCCUCCCAUCGUUCGAUCACCCUCCAAAAGUCAAAACCCAAACGCCUCACAUCCCAUCCCACGGCGGAGACCGCAGACUCACCUCUGAGCUAACCUACUCCCACUGUACCACAACAACAUUCCAUGCACUAGAAAAAGGCGUUGAGAAAGCUGACAAAAGAAUUCUUGUUGACGUAGAAGUGACCACAGGUGAGACCCACAAAUUGACCAGGCUAUGCACCCACCCGAUCUCAUUGGCGGUUCGCGGGCCCCACCGGGCGGCUUUUUGUCGGAUAUCCAUGCAUGGCAUGGCAUGAGUAGCUAUGAAGCGAGUGCAGGCCACGCUCCCCCCUCCCCACACACACAUACACGUAAAAGCAAUGAAAGUGGCUGUUUGGCGGCGACGAGAGAGAAGAGAAUAUGUUCGCAGGGUGACAGUGCACUAGUGAUCUCAUCCAAUAAUACUGCAUCACCCAUCCAUCCAUCGAUCCAUUCACGUACCGCAAAGAAACUCCAAUAUCUUCACCUUUUCUUUUGUUUUCUUGCCCCCGCCCCACCCGGCCCCCUUCUACUUUAGAUCAAAGUGUGCCACCUUCUAAAAAGAACCCAUUAGGUCUUUUACGAGUAAUCAUCACAUUCAUAUAGUUACGGCUUCUAAAAUAAUAUAAACUAACGUACCACUUAUGUCCUCAUCAAGCUUACGUGUUUGAUUUGCAAUUUUUUUAAAAUGCUGUUCUAUAUUCUAUAUCGGUUAUUAUCACUGAAAGGAUCCAAUGCAAUAGAGUCAAUGAGUAAGUUCAUGUUUUUCUUCUUAAAAAAGGGGGUCUGUGAACCAACAAAGACGUCUGCCUUUCUUUAAAGUAAUCCCACCAACUAAUUAAACUAGUUCAGUGGGAACGGAAAACAAGAAGAUUGGCGGCCUCCCUGUUGGCUGAUGGAUUUGGAGCAUUUUUCUUGGCUUCAAUUUUCAAACUUUGGAAAAAGUCGUUAUUCAGUCUAUUUUUGAACCACCUUUAUGCUCAAAAUGUAAACUAUAACUAUUGUGGAAUGAAUAGACGAUGAUCAUCACAUUUUUUAUAUUUGGAACUCUAAAAUAAAGGAUGAAAAUGAAGACUUUUUUUUAUUAAUUUUUAUGUUUUUGAUGUGGGACGGAUGCCUAACUCGUACUGUGCUCAUUAACGUGGAUAUCAACAAUUAAGUGAAGGUAUCUGACGUUGAUUGGAUCUUAUAUGCGAGACUAUCUCUACCCUUAUCAUGUUUGAACUAUUUAACGAAAAUUCGAAAUUAAUGAGUAAAAAAUUUACUCUCAUGAAAACCCAAACACAUUUUUAUUAUAGUUUUUACUAGAUCGAGCUUUGACCAUUUCAUUUAGAAGACAUUUGACAUCAUAAUUCGUAGGUCUAUUCUAAUAACCAUCUUUGGGAUGACCCAUUUUCAUACGUACUUAAGAGCGGAUGUUCUUACAUGCCUCCCAAUAGUUCUGAUUCCUCAUUUUCCACAUGAUAGCUAGUGUAAUUGGGUUGGUACACCAACGGCACCCUUGGGGUGAAGCCAUGACUUGUUGAAUAUGGGUACAUGUUCCAACUUCAGGCCCAAAACAGGCUAAAGGCCAAACUCCCAAAGGCCUUGAUCCCGGUCCAUAGCACACCGAUACCUCCUCCUUUUCCUUCGAGUACAUGAUACCCAAGAAAAAAGUUACAUACACUGUACCUGAAAAUGUGAUAUGAUGGAUUAACUGGUUGGUAUCGCCCCGUGAAACGUGAUGAUCCCUUGGUCUUAGUCAUAUCUUCUCAUAUAUCCCACCCCAUGAAAGGCAUUUGGGCUAGAAUCCACACCCAUCUUUUACAAUAAUGACUCUUAAAAAGCGUCAACAAUUCCUUAAAAAUAUAUCUCUCUCUACAUGUGUAUUUUGAAAGGAACAACAACCAGAAACAAAACCAAAUGGUUCAUUGACAUUAUGCUUUCAAGAUCUUAAAAACCAAUUUUUUUUUAACUUUUGGGUUGGCUGAGAGCGUGUUUAGCGUGAAAGCAGGAGUAAUAGUAGGGGAAUAUAUGAAGUAAUGUACUUAGGCAUUAAGGUUCGAAAGCACACGGAAGACACGCGGUGGGGGAAGGAGGCUUGAAGCACACAAAAGAAGAAGGCAGGCAGGGGUUGAGAUUCCGAUAUAUAUCAUUCAUGAAAAGUUGAUGAGUCUUCACCCCACUCCAAAAGAAAAGGCAGGCUAGUAACAGUGGAGGUGAUUUGAGUGUGGUAUCUUCCAUCUUCUAUUUUACAAGCAACCCUACAAGGAAGGGGGGCCCUUUAAAAUAAGAGGAUCCACUAAGGAUAUUUUGGUUUUCUUAUUUUUUGUUUUCCUUUGAAAAUACCCUUUGAUUCAUUUAGUUUUCUUUUCUUUAUGCGUGCAUGGCCACACUCAAUCACAUGCACAAAUAGUAUUUGGUUUUGAGUAAAGGGUAUUUGUAUUAUUUUGCAAGUGGAAUUGGUGACAAGACUCGCCACCCCCAUCGUCCACUUGAUCAUCAAAGAAUUUUUUAGCAUCUUGGUCACCUAUGCUAGGACUUGAACAGCACUAUAGAUAUAGAGGGUAAGAGGGACAAAAGAAAAAACUCCUGCCUUUUGUGGGUUUUUGGUUGGAGGGGAAAAACUUGAAAAAAGUGUGAGAUAAUCUCUAAUAAACAGCCUUCCAAAACCAUUGCUUUUCCUUUUUUUUCUUUUUUUUUUGGUCAUAGUGCAUGGAUUUCAUAUACAUUUAGUCAACUAAAUUUGAACUAAAAUAAUGAAACAUGAUUCCUUUUACAUGUAAAAGAAAUUAAGCUAGAAUUUGAUUCCCUUUGAAACAUAGAGUGGCAGCUAAAAGCCCAACCAGAUUUCUUCAAUCAAUCUCUCUUUUUCUUCUUGAUUUUUUCUUUGGAUUGGAUAAGAUUAGGAGACAUCAUACGCAAAUGCUAGGUAGGGUAGAGGGGUAAACCCAAAGAAGGAAGCCCAACUUGAAUAAGGCCCAACCCAAUGAAGUUGAUUUGAAGUGGGUGGUCCAAUACGGUGAAAGCUCGGCCUAAAUAAGAGCCCAAGUUCCAUGGUCACAGGCCGUUUCUGACUAGAUCUCAUGCCUACAGCGAGAAAUCAAGAUAACCACAGGCAGGAGCAAAUACCACCAAAACCUUCUCAACGGUUUAGACUUUCAGAGGUAGAAGGUAGAGUCAAGCAGUAGCCACGUGUUCCACGAAACAUGCACAUCGCCACGUAGUACACACACGUACUCCAAUAACUCCUCCUCGCCCUAUAUAUCAACGUUUCCUCCACCCUCAACAUCUCGCAUCAGUCUUAAUUUCUGGAAAAAAGGGAGAAAGAAAAAAAAAAUGUUCAAGAGAGCUUGUGUUUCUUCACUGUCCUUGUUCCUCUUUCUUGCUUAUUUCUGUCUGCAUGCAAAGGGGUGGAGCGGGAAUGGUGAUUGGGGUGCGGGGCCUCUGUUUCCCAAAGAUAAGAGGGAGACGAUUGUGUCGACAGAGUAUGGAGAGAUCUCAGCAGCGCAAGUGAGUGAUGGGACAAGGAGAGGAUCCUACCAUCUCCAGUUCUUCACUCUGGAGCCUAACUCCCUUUUUCUUCCAGUUCUACUCCAUACGGACAUGGUAUUUUAUGUACACACGGGUACUUCUCUCAAAACAUUUUGAAGAGUCCCUUCAGUUUUCCCUUUAAAUCAUAUUUAUGGAUUACUACAUUUGAAGAUUCAUAAUCAUUUUGUAAGGUGCUUUUUCAUUGCAUGCGUGGGUGAAGGAUGUGAGGAUCUCCUGAUAUCUGGUUGUCUUUUUGGUUGUAAUUUUAGGGAGUGGGAAGUUAAAUUGGGCCAACGAAGAAAAGGAGAAGACGACACUGACAGCAUUAAGACGGGGUGAUGUGUAUAGGCUGAAGCCAGGGACUGUUUUCUACUUGCAGAGCAACUUAGAAUCAGAGAGGGAGAAGCUUAGAAUUUAUGCCAUCUUUGUUAACUUAGAAGAUGGCGAUUUAAAUGUGUGUAUUUUUUCCCAUUCAAUUUUAUAUUUUGGUCCUCUGUUUCUGGGAUUCUUUCGAGUAAUUCCCUCUUCUUAACCCUUUGGUGUAGGAGGUAUCAUCAAUUGGGGCAUAUUCUAGCAUUAGCGACCUGGUCCGGGGCUUUGAUAAGAAAGUUCUCCAAGCUGCUUUUGAGGUAUGAUUUCUCUCCACAGGGACAUCCAGGGUUGUGUAUUAUUAAGUUCUUGGAUUCUGUAACAUCAAUCCAAAUGGGUGUUUAUAAGGUCUCUGAGGAACUGAUAGAAGCAAUAACAAAUGCAACCAAGCCACCUGCUAUUGUCCAUAAUGUGCCAGCAAGAUCAGAGAAUCUGUGGGGGUGGGAAGCUCGAUUCCUUAAAGCCUUUAUUGGAAGCCAAGGCCACAGCAUUUAUGAUUUGGAGAACAAAAAGAAGGCAGCCAAGACAUUCAAUAUUCGAGAUGCGGAUCCAGACUUUGAGAAUUGUAAUGGACGGGCCUUGACGGUGACCACCAAAGACAUGAAAGUAUUGAAGGGUUCCAACAUUGGAAUUUUCAUGGUGAACCUGACAAAGGUCUGUCAGAAGCCAGCAGAUCUUGCUUUUUUAUCAUUUUCCUUGAAAAACUUGGGAGACUUUUAACAGUAAAAAGUGUUGGAUGUGUCUACACUAUAACUGACAGAUGAUGGGAUAUGAAUUUAUUGUAACACUGACAUCUAUUUGAUUUGUUGAUGAAGGGUUCAAUGAUGGGGCCGCACUGGAAUCCAUUGGCUACUGAGAUAGCAGUAGUCUUAGAAGGGCAAGGGAUUGUUCGGGUGGUUUGUUCUAGCAACACUACGAAAUCAAGUUCAAGCAACACUACGAAAUCAAGUUCCAGCAACUCUACCAAAUUCAAGUGUGAAAACAGGAGUUUUAGGGUGAGGGAAGGAGAUGUUUUUGUUGUCCCAAGGUUCCAUCCCAUGGCUCAGAUGUCCUUCAAUAAUGGCUCCUUGGUGUUUAUGGGAUUCAGCACAGCCUCAAAACUGAAUCAUCCUCAAUUCCUAGCAGGAGAAAGCUCUGUUCUCCGAACUCUUGACAGGGAUGUGUUAGCUGCAGCCUUCAAUGUUUCCAACACAACCAUGGAUCAGUUUCUGACUCCUCAGCGUGAGUCUAUCAUCUUAGAUUGCACUAGUUGCGCUGAGGAGGAGGCAAGGAUGAUGGAAGAGGAAAUUGAAAAGAAAAGGCAAGAGGAGGAAGCUAGGAAGGAGGAAGAAGAGAGAAAGAGGAAGGAGGAGGAAGCCAAGGAGGAGGAAGAAGAAAAAAAGAGGGAAGAGGAGGAAGCCAGGAAAAGAGAGGAAGAGGAGAAAAAGAGGGAGGAAGAGGAAGCCGAAGCCAGAAAGAGAGAGGAAGAAGAGGCAAAAGAGGAAGAUAGGAGAAGGGAAGCAGCAGCAGAAAGGGAGCAAGAGGAGGCAAUGAGAGAAGAAGAUGAGAGACAAAAGAGGGAGAGGGAAGAGGAGAAGUAUGAAAAGGAGAAAAAGAGGGAGGAAGAGGAAGGCAAAGCCAGAAAGAGAGAGGAAGAAGAGACAAAAAGGGAAGAAGAUAGGAGAAGAGAAGCAGCAGCAGAAAGGGAGCAAGAAGAGGCAAUGAGAGGAGAAGAAGAAAGACAAAAAAGAGAGGGGGAAGAGGUGAAGUAUGAAAUUGGGGGUGGUGGGGAGGGAAAAAGAGCAGAGUAUUGAACACUUGGAAUGUUUGACAUGCCUCCUCUCACCCACCUGCCUGUACUACACAGUCAUGAGGAGUGAGGGUAGCAGUCUUCCAACACCUUCCUUAGAUCCUUACGUUUUAUGUUUCCCUCUAAUUAAGUUCCAUCAUCUGAGUUGGUUCAGUAGAUCUUUUUCUUGAAAUAGGCAGGAGAUUUUUGUUUCACGUUUUGAUGGUGAGAUGGGAGUUUUGUGGAAAUGUAAGCCCAGCUUUUAAAAUAAUCAUAGUCGUUCAUGUUGGUUCCUUCUGUAUUUAGCAAAUUUAGUUCAAAAUCCUGAUUUAUAUAUAUAUAUAUAUAUUGGGUAUAGGGUUAUUAGACGAAUUUGGUUUAAAAUCGUUAGAAUAUUAUAUUGGAUCUAGAAUAUGUAGUGAAUUUUGUUUAAAAUCACAGAUAAUAUUAAUUUUAAAGCUUGGAGCAACUUCAGCUUGGUUUUUUUGAUAUAUUAUUUUUUGGGAGAUUAUUUUUGGAAGAAUUGUGUUUUCAACCAGGGUAAUUGAGGUAAAGUCCUUCUAUCACUCAUAAUUAAACCUAAAACCCAAUGAAAUAGUAGAAAUUAAGAGGAAUGAUAUUAUCUUUAAAAAAUCCCUAAAAUACCCUUGACUAUUAAAUGAAAGAACUAACAAAUCACCUCACCUUUCUCAUUCUCUCUUGAACUUUUUUGUCCUUUUCUCACUUAUUUAAUAGUGAAACCAAGUUGAAUCAUUUUUCUUCAUCAAAUUGAAUAUGAAAUAUGGUUAAAAAUUAUUACUGCUAAAUGCAUUUUUAAAAUGAAUAACUUUUAAAUACCUCAUCAAAUAUUUUUUUUUUCAAACUUAUAUAAUAUAUAAUAAAUAUUUUUUAAAUAUGUUAAAACUUACAUAAUAUAUAAUAAAUAUUAUUCUUUAUUUCAAACUUAUAUUAUUUAUCAUAUAUAUUAAAUAAUUUUUAAAUAUCUUAUAAAAUAUUAGUAUUAUUUGUUUGUUCUAACUUGUAAAUUAUAUAUCAUCAAAUAUUUUUUUUUUUUCAAAUUUAUAGAACAUAUAAUAAAUACUUUUUAAAUACCUCAUAAAAUAUUAUUAAUUUUUUUUUAACUUGCAAAUUUGACACAUGGUGUUUAUUAUUUCUCAUAUUAUUUCAAAAAUAAUGUAAAUACUCACAUGCAUAUAUAUAUAAUAUUAAUCAAGAAGACAAUAUUUAUAAGACUAAUUUACCAACCUUCCAAUAAUUUUGAAAGUGUAAAUAGGGUAAUUGGCCAAAUUAAAGUCUUCAAAAUAUUCAAAAUUUCUCAAUUCCAAAAUUAUCUAAUUGUUCCCCACACUAAUCCUAAAUAUUUUUGAAUAAAGAUUUAAAUAGUCAAAACCAUUAAAAUAAAUAUUUUCUUAUUAAAGCAAUUUUUUCAAAGUAAUAAGAUAAAAAGCAUGAAAUCUUCAAAACUAUAAUUGCAACAAAUAUUUUUAAUUUUAAAACUAAUUUCAUAAUUUAAAUUAAUGAUUUUAAAAAAUAAAAAUGUUAUAAAAAUAAUUUUUCUUUAUUUUUAAUUCAAUUUAAAUAUAAUUUUUUUAAUCUCUAUUGAUAACAAUGAAAUUAUGUUUAUAAAGACAAAAUAGUAAAAAUAUAUAUUUAAUUUAGUUUACUUAUAAUGAACAAUUCAAACAUGAUUGAUUUUAAUUUUAUUCCCUAUGUGUUAAUUUUUGUAGGGAAUGUCUUAAUGACAUAAUUUGGUAAAAAAAAAAAACAAUCAAUAAUUGUCUUAAUCUCAAAUUCAAGUUGUUUAAAAAUCGUACAAAACCUAUUAGGAGUCUUGUACACCCUUGUACACUUUACACAUUUUCCUUGUACAGUUAGUGUAAUACCUUUGUACAAUGACACAAAUUUUAUAUAUUUCCUAACUUAUAUGUCCAUGUAGGUGUAUUAAUCAUAUUUUCAAUGGUUUGUUUGAGAAAAUGGUGAAUGACUUAGGGUCAAUUUUUUUUCCCCCAAAUAUCGUUAUUGGAGAAAAUAUUGGAAUUUUCAUGUGAGAGUUAAAUAAAGUGCAUGACAUAAGUGUAUAAUUCUUUAGUGACAAAGAAAAUAUAAAGUGGUUUAGAAUCGAUUGAAAUCAUUUACAAAGAAUAAUCUUGUAUAAUUAGUAUAUUUUUCUUGUAUAGUUAGUGUAAUACCUUUGUACAAUGACACAAAUUUCAUAUUCCUUUUAAGUUAUGUAUCCACAUAGGAGUGUUUAACUAUAUUUCCAAUAUUUUAAUUGAGAAGAUGGUGGAUGACUUAAGGUCAAAAAAAUUUCCCCAUAUAUCAUCAUUGGGAAAAGUAUUGGAAUUUCCAUGUAAGAAUUAAAUAAAGUGCAUGACAUAUGUGUACAAUUCGUGAGUGAUAAGAAAAAUAAAAGAAUGACUCAUAAUCGAUUGUAAUAUUUCACAAAGGGUGGUAUUGUACACCUUUGUACACUUAGUACAUUUUCCUUGUACAGUUAAUGUAAUACAAUUGUAUAGUGGUGCAAUAAAUGAAUAAAUGAUUUUUUUUUAUAUAAAAAAGUAGUAGUUCAAUUUUCAUUUUUAAAAAUAGUUUUCAUUUUUUAAUUAAACGUAUUUUCAAAAAGAGACAAUAUAGAAAAUAAAAAUUAUUUUUUAAAAAAAACUAGAAAAAUAUUUUAAAACCAAACUCAAAUAUAAUCUAUAUAAUUUUUAACUACUUUUUUUAAUUUAAAAUAAGUAAAUAUACCUUUCAACCCUUUUAUAUAAGAAAAAUUCAAUCUUUACUAUGUAUUGAUAUAAUCCACUUCUAAAAUUAGGUCAUAUAAAAAUAUUUUAAUUGAGUACUUAAAAUAAAAACUCUUCAUCCAUCUUCUUUCUUUCUUUUUCUUUUUCUUAUUUUAAUAAAUUUUCAAUUAAUUCAAAUCAUUAAAAAAAAAUCCUUAGUAAACAAAUUUGUAACAUUUCAUAUAACUUAUUACUAAAAGUCAUGUUAAAAAAGUUAUUCAAAUAAAGAAAAAAGAAGAUUAAAAAAAAUUAAACUUUUUAUUUUAUAAUAGUAACAAAAAAAACUUUAAAAUACUUUUUAGUAUAAAAGAAAUUAAAAUAGUGAAUAUAUUUAUUUUAAAUAGUGUGUUAAUCAUUAAAUUAUUUACUUCUAAAAUAUAAAAGAUAAAAAUAAAUGUAAAAGAUAAUUUUUAUUUAUUUAUAAUUUAAAAAUAAAAAAUAAUGUUGAUUUUUCAAUUAUUUAUAAAAGAGUUUAAACAAAUAAUAAAAAAUCUAAAAUGGUUAAAUAAGAAAUAAUAGUAGCAUAUGAAGAGUGGUAGAAUAAAGACAAAAAUGAGUUAAAUAAGUAUUUUUAUCAAUUACCAUCUCAUAUUCUUGUAAUCAAUUAGGGUGAUAGGAAGACUUUAACUAAUUAUCAAGUCUAUAUGGAUUGAAAAUUCAAUUUUCCCAUUAUUUUUUUACUUUAUUCCAAAUUAUCAUUGAUUUUAAAGGAUAUAUAUUGUCUUUUUGACAUACUACUUUUUCACUUUAUUCCAAAUUAUCACUUGGAAGUCCAACCAACUUUCACUUCCCAAGAUUCUACCUGAUUAUUCUGUCCAAUCAAUUUGUAUUAUACAAGGUAUGAGCAAUUAUUCUGUUCAAUCAAAUUGUAUUGGUACGAGGUAUGAGCAAUUAUUCUGUUCAAUCAAAUCGUAUUGUACAGGGUAUGAGCUUUUGAGAACCCAAUCUAUAUCUUUAUAUAUAUUUUUUUAUCAUAUUUUAAUAAAAAUAUCAUUAUUUUUUCCUUACAAAAAUAAUUAUUUCUUAUAAAAUCUAUAUAUAAAUUAUUUAAAAUAAUUAAGGAUAUUUAUGUCAAAAAUGAAUUAUUAUAAAAAAGGAUAAAUUUAUAAAUAUGAAGAUUAUUAUUAUUAUUAUUUUUAAUCAAUUAAUUCUUUCUUAUAUUCUAUAUAAAUAUAUUUUUAAAAAGGAAAAAGUGAAAAGAAAUGAAAGAAGUUUAAUAGGGAAUUAUAUUGUCCUCUUCAACUAAAUAUUCCUAACAAAAUUCAAUGUGGGAGACUACCAAUGCAUUCCAAAAAAACGCAGCUGAGAACCAAAUGAAUUAAAAUGAACCUCAACAACAUUAAAAGGUCAAGAGUUUAGAGGAUAUGGGGAAAAACUAGGCAUCGUCUUCAAAACAAGUACCUUUACGAGGUCUCAUGGCCCAGUCAAGCUUGUGAAGCUCUACCAACUACAAUAUGUAGCAUUUUUAAGCAAAAGAUGCACCAGCACGGAUCCAGUGAAAGAAAGGAGAGAUGAAACUCAUCCAUUGGAUGUGCUAGUUAUAAAAGACACAACUACAGUUAUGUCAUCAAGCUUGCCCCCAUAAUAACGGAACCCGGCAUCUUGAGCAGCAGUAGAGAAUGGUGUCUGCCGCAUCCUGUCCUGUGCUCGCUGUCGUGCCAAAGCUGCUAUCUUCUGAGCUGUUACUUGGGGUCCCAAUCCAGCUCUCACCGCAUGAACAACAACAGCAGUAACUUCACUGUUAUACAAGUUGUCAAACAAUCCAUCUGUGCCAGCAACAAUGACAUCUCCUGGCGCAACCGGAAUUGUGAAUACCUGGCCACAUUGAUCCCAAAAGUAUGCUCAGUCUGGGACACUAAUAAACUCCCUUUCUUACAAGUUUCCAUCUGCUUAUUCAUUCAGGGAAACAUUUCUAUCUUAUUGUUGUGUGGAGUGAAUGUUAUUAGACUUCAGUUCAAAGAAACUAAGUCGCAUUGGUAUGCGGCAAUAGGGAAAAGAAAUGAGAAAUUCAUUAAUUUCCUAUUCAUAACCGUGUUUAGACUACUUGCUAGAAAUAGAAAUAGGAAUAAAAAAUCAAUAUCAUGGAAAUGAAAACCCACUCUUUAGCGAUUUUGAUUCAUCUCUUCUAUAAGGUGUUACGAUUUACCUCUACUCCUAUUCUUACCCUCAUUCCCAUUCUCAUGUACCAAACACAAACUAAAAUGAUACGAAGAGGAAAAAAAAAAUGAAUGCUAAGAGAAACGGGCACUAACCAACUACACUUUUUCAUAACAAGCCAUUUAUGGGUGUGAAAAGAGAGAAAAUGGAGAAUCCCUAAUUUUUGUUAUUGAAAAACUGUUAAUAAUACACAUUGGACUUGGGUAUAUAUAUACAUGUUAGUGGGACCCACAAUACAAUAAGGAAAGAAAAAGAAAAAUAAAUAAUUGAAAUAACUGUACACUAUUUAACACUCCCCCUCAAGCUCGAGCAUAUAUGUUAUAUGCACCAAGCUUAUUACAAAUGUAUUUAAUUCUAGGACCUCUGAGAGAUUUAGUAAAAAUAUUUGCUAGUUGAUCAUUUGAAUUGACAAAACUAGUCGUCACACAUCCUGAUGCGAUCUUCUAUCUAAUGAAGUGACAGUCAACUUCAAUGUGUUUGGUCCUUUCAUGGAAUACUGGAUUGGAUGCAAUAUGCAAAGCGGCUUGGUUGUCACAGAUGAGCUUCAUCUAUUCAUCCUUUCCAAAUCUCAACUCCAGAAGAAGAUGUUUCAGCCAUAUGAGUUCACAUGUUGCCAGAGUCAUAGCUCGAUACUUGGCUUCAACACUAGAUCUGACCAUUACAUCUUGUUUCUUACUCUUCCAGGAUAUUAGGUUACCUCCAAUAAAAACACAAUACCCAGAAGUGGAACGUCUAUCUGUAGGUGAGCCAGCCUAAUUUGCAUCUGUGUAACCAACAACCUGGGUAUGACCUCUGUUCUUGUAUAACACACCUUGGCCUAGUGUGCUUUUGAUAUAUCGAAGAAUGUGGAUUACAGCAUUCCAAUGGCUAUCACAUGGUGACUGUAGGAAUUGACUAACAACACUUACAGGAAAAGAAAUGUCUGGACGAGUAAUGGUGAGGUAGUUCAGUUUACCUACAAGUCGUCGAUAACUCCCAGGAUCUCCUAAAGGCUCCCCAUGUCCUGGUAUAAGUUUGACAUUUUGAUCCAUAGGAGUGUCUACCGGUUUACAGUCUAACAUACCGGUUUUUUCCAAGAUGUCUAAAGCAUACUUCCUUUGGGAAAGAACCACACCGGAACUGGAUUGAACUAUCUCAAUCCCUAAGAAAUACUUGAGUUUCCCCAAGUCUUUAGUCUGAAAAUGGGUGAAAAGGUGUUGCUUUAGUUUCUGAAUACCAUUCUGAUCAUUGCAUGUAAUGACGAUGUCGUCCACAUAAACUACCAGAUAAAUACACUGCCCCGAAGAGUUAUGAUGAUAGAAAACGGAAUAGUCUACUAUACUGCGAAACAUGCCAAACUCCUGAACAACAGAACUAAAACGGCUAAACCAUGCUCGAGGAGAUUGUUUCAAGCCAUAUAGAGAACGGCGUAACCUACACACUAAACCAGACUCCCCCUGAGCAACAAAACUAGGUGGUUGCUCCAUAUAAACUUCCUUAGCAAGAUCCCCAUGAAGGAAAACAUUUUUAAUAUCUAACUGAUAAAGAGGCCAAGAAUGCAUAGCAGCCAUGGAGAGCAAUAGACAAACAAAAGCUAUCUUGACAACAGGAGAGAAAGUGUCACCAUAAUCAGAACCAUAAACCUGAGUAUAGCCUUUAGCAACUAAGCGGGCGUUAAGGCGAUCAACUUGACCAUCAGGGCCAACCUUAACUGUGUAGACCCAACGACAACCAACUGUAGAUUUACUAGAGGGUAAAACAACAAGAUCUCAAGUGUCAUUGGAGUGUAAAGUAGUCAUUUCAUCUACCAUUGCCUGUCGCCAGCUUGGAUGGGAAAGAGCCUUGGGGGCAUUCUUGGGAAGAAAAACAGAAGAUAUAGUAGAAACAAAUGCAGAAUAGGGUGAAGAUAAUCGAUGGUAACUCAAAAAAUUGUAAAUGGGAUGAGGAUUACAAGUAGAUCGAUUACCUUUCCGAAGAGCAAUGGAUAAGUCAGCAGAAGGAGGCAGAGCCGAGACAGAAGAAGCCGAAGGGAUAGGAAGUGAGUUAGUAGGUACCUCGGCCAAAGAAGGAGGAACAACGACAUGAUGACGGCGAUGAUAAACCUGAAGUGGGUAAGAAGGCACUGCAUCAGGUGGAGAGAUAAUGGGAAGGGGUAAGACUUUAGAAAUAGGAAGAGACUCGGAGGUGGAGAAGAAUGAUGAGUCCUCAAAGAAAGUGACAUCAGCGGAGAGAAAGUAGCGAUGAGUCUCAGAGGAAUAACAACGAUAACUCUUUUGAAGUCUGGAAUAUCCCAAGAAGAUGCAUUUUGUGGCUUUGGCAUAAAGUUUGUCCUGUCCAGGAGUGAGAAUAUGAACAAAGCAAGUACAACAAAAAACAUGAGGAAGGAAAUAAAGUGGUUGGUCAGGGAAAAGAAGGGAAUGAGGAAUCUGAUCGUGUAAUACGAUGAGGGCAUACGAUUAAUCAAAUAACAUGCUGUAAGAACAGCAUCCCCCCAAAACGAAAAGGAACAUUACUAUGGAGAAGGAGAGUACGAGCUGUUUCAAUAAGAUGUUGAUUCUUACGUUCAACUACCCCAUUUUGUUGAGGAGUAUGAACACAAGAAGACUGAUGAAGGAUCCUAUAUUGGGACAUAAAUGGAGUAAAUGGUGCAGAAAAUUAUUCCCUGGCAUUGUCACUACGUAACACACGAAUAGAAAUAUUGAACUGAGUUUGGAUUUCAGUAUAAAAUUUCUGGAAAAUAGAGAAUAACUCAGCUCGAUUUUUUAUUUAAAAUAACCAAGUACAUCGAGAAUAGUCAUCAAUGAAAGUGACAAAAUACUGAAAUCCUAAAGUAGACGUGGUCCGAUAAGGACCCCAAACAUCAGUGUGGACAAGUUCAAAAGGAGACUUUGCCCAAUUAUUCAAACGCUUUGGGAACGAGACAUGAGUAUGUUUCCCAAGCUGACAGGACUCACAUGCAAGCGACGACAAAGAUGAAAAAUGAGGAACCAUUUUUUGGAACUUGGAUAGACUAGGGUAGCCCAGACGACUGUGAAUGAGGAGGGGAGCAUCAGUGGAAAUGCAAACUACAGGAGUUGAAAGCGAGGUGAGGUGAUAGAGGCCUUGAGACUCACGUCCUAUGUCAAUCGUCUUCCCUGUACUCCGGUCUUGCAAGGUCACAAAUUUAUCAGAAAAAAUGAUAGAACAGUUAAGAGUGCGAGUUGUUUUGGUGAUAGAAAUAAGAUUAAAAGGACACUCAGGGGCAUAAAGGACAUAAUGGAGAGGUAGGGAAGGGAGAGGAUGAGCUAAACCAAAACCUUUAGCCAUAGUUUGGGAACCAUUAGCUAAAGUAACAGUAGGUAAGGCAGAGGUAGUAGUAAUAGAAGAGAAAAGAUCCUUAUUACUAGAUAUGAGAUCAGAAGCGCCAAAAUCUUGAAUCCAAGGUCCAAGAGAAGAUGUGUGGGUAAGAUAAGCAGAAGCAUUACCAGUCUGGGAAACAGAAGCAACAAAAGCUGACUUGGUGGCCUGAUAGCGGAGAUAGUCAUCAUACUCACUGUCAGUGAGGGAAAUACCCUAAGAUGUGGACGAACUAGGAGCUAAGGCGGCUGAGGAUCAGAUGACUGGGCCACGUAGGCAGUGUGGGGAGGCCGCCCAUCUAACUGAUAACACCGAUCACAAGUGUGGCCAAGCUUAUUGCAAUAGGUACAAUGAGGACGUUGGCCUCUACCUCGGUUACCACUUCGUCCUCCUUGAGAGUUAGUUUGAGAAACUAAUACAGAAGAAUCUGAAGUGUUAUCAGAUGGCAAAGUCUGAGUGGAGGAGAUACGGAGGAGGCGAGCAAACACAUCAUCCAAGAAUGGAACGGAGGAUCUGCCAAGAAUCUGAUCGCGAACGGUCUCAAGAUUUGGACGGAGGCCAAUAAGCGUAAGAACCAUGAAGAACUUGUCAAUCUGUGUUCGUUGAUCCCCAACAUCAAUAGUAAGAAGCAUCACGGUCAAGAAUUCUUCCUUAAGAGAGGCAAUCUGGCCAAUAUAAGUAGAUAAAUCCAUGUCUUGUUGUCUGACAUUGACAAUAGAAGAAGUCACCUUAUAAAGACGUUGAAUAUCAUUCGUGUAUAGCCCUUUCGCCUGAUUCCAAAAUUUAAAGCAUGUUUUGUAGGCCCAAAGAUGAAGCAGAAUCUUAGGAUCAACUGAUUGUCACAACACACUACAUAACUAUGCAUCUAUCUUCCUCUAUUGUCCUCUGUCAACCUUAGGGAUAUCCGCCUCCUGCGUAACAAGGUGAUCCUGAUAACCUUGACCCAUAAACCAAAGCUCCACAGAGGCAGACCAGGACAAAUAAUUUUCACUGCCAACCAAUUUCUCCGAAGUAAUCAUAGGAGAUCCAGAUAUGACAGAGGAAAAAAUGGAACUUUUAGUAGCCAUAUCUACUUAUCUGGAGAACGAAAUUUGUUUGGAUCGAAGAGAACCCUAAUACGGCUUCAGAUCGCGACUGAAAGAAGAAAAACCGAGGAUCCGUGGCUGCGAGAGACCAAAUAGUAAAGAAAAACAAAUAUGACACUACUGGAAGGGUAGAAGAACACUUCCUAAGACACGUACAGGGCUCGGGGUGGAGAAGAAGUCACUGGAGGUCGCCGGAAAGGCUGUUUAGAGGGCCGACGGAGACAAAAAAAACCCCAAAAAAUGCACUUGCAGGGUUCGGAUGGCAUAAGCAUAAAAGGAGAGUGGCUAGACGGCGUCAGGCGAGGCUGGAGGUGGAAGCGUGUGGCCGGAAAGUGCUCCACGUGCCGGCGCGUGAGGUUCAGGUCGCCGGAGAAGAAAUACGCGUGGUCGGCGCAUGGAUGAGAAUCUCCCUCCGGUGCUUUGACAAAACUUGAAGAUCUCCUCCUUGCGCACUUGAUGGUAUGGUCGGUGUUAGAAAAGGUAUUCGCCGAAAAAGUCGUUAGAAAAGUCGCCGGCGAUGAGGGUUUUCUGACGGCGAUACGGUUGAUCGGAAAGCUUUAGGAGAUGGGAAAGGUGAUCGAAAUGAAACACGGUCACUGAAAGGUUUCCUAUAAUUGAUUCACGGAUAAACCGGAAAUAAUUAGGUUUUUUUUCUCCCUAUGCUCGGAUACCAUGUGAAAAGAGAGAAAAUGGAGAAUCCCUAAUUUUUGUUAUUGAAAAACUGUUAAUAAUACACAUUGGACUUGGCUAUAUAUAUACAUGUUAGUGGGACCCACAAUACAAUAAGGAAAGAAAAGGAAAAGUAAAUAACUGAAAUAACUAUACACUAUCUAACAAUGGGUAAUAUAGGAAGAACUACAUCUAAUUCUCCAGAAGAAAAGAUGAAAUUCCUGAAACUAUUCAAGAUUAUAACUUGAUAUUAAGUGCACGAGAAAUUAGCCUACUUGGAAUUGCAUAAGUGUCUAAUUUUUAUAAUUUAUCAUUUUAGGAAGUUCGUAACUGCUAAAAAAAUUCCAAAUAGAAUCAUAUGGCUGAAACUAUCUAAUCGAGCCAUUUUCUGGUACCCAUUCUACAAAAUAGGAUCCAUCCAGUGGGGACAGAUCCACUUUAUGCUGCAUUAGCAAGUAUUUAUUAUUCACAGUCUGCACUGGUUGACUUAAUUCUAUUUAAAGGAACAAACUGAAAGAAGAAACACAGCCAGAACCCCAUUUCAUAGCCAAUGCAACAUGAGCAAAUUAAUUUGACUCUAAUUCUCUGAAAGAUAAAAUUCCCAAAACUAUUUAAGAUGAUAGCACUCUCAAGUUUACAAGAAAUCAGCUUGGUUGGAAGUGUUAAACCCUGCUACAUUUUCAAAGGCCUCUUCAUUGUAGAAGACUUCAAUUAGAAUCUAAAACCAUUAAACCAAGUUGCUUUCUGGUACAGAUCUGCUACCCUACAAAAUGGAAACCAUCCUGUGGGUCCUGAUCCUCAUUAUGUUGAGGACUUGACAUGGCAGGUACUAAUUUAUGAUUGCACUUCAACAGAAUGAAGUCAGACAAAAUGAAAAGAUUGCUAACCAGCAUAAUUGAAGUUCAAAUGACAAUGAGUUAACCAUGCUACUUCCUUUUGCUUGAUAGGGGGCAAGGAAAGGUCAGAGGCUAUUUCAGCCUGCAACAUGGUGGAAAAAGCAAGAGGCAAGGAAAGUGUUUUAGUGUGGGCACACCAAAUAUGGUUUCUAGAACUGAUAUACAUCCAAAUCCAUUUAUCACUUUUAUGACAACAUCAUGAAUGCAAACCACGUCAAAUUCAAAGUUUGAGUUCACCCACAAGAGCAAUGAUCAAGAGAAAUGAGAGAGUAGCAGUGCAUCAACUGACCUGACCAGAACUGGGUAGAUCACCAGCCCUGCCGCUCUCCAGUUGAUAUGUGAAAUUGAACCCAUGCUGCUGCACAGGGGAUUGAAAAAUUGUGCAUCCAUCUCGAACCACUAUAAAUCCACUGUCCCCUAGAUUAAUGGCUUGGAGUCCCUGCUGAAAGGAGUCAAUGAAUAAUCCACUCAGGUAAAGCAACAAGUAUUCCUUUGUUUUUACUGUUGAAUAAAGUAAAUUAUCCAAAGUGCAUAAAGAUGUAAACUCAACAAUUCAUUAGGCCUAGUAACUAGUCACUUCAUUUAACAAAGAUGCAAGAUAAGUUGGCAGUCCAAAGAACCAGAAAUACAAAAGUGGACUAAAGAAAAUGCCAAACUGAUAAAUUGGGAUUGUACAAGUGGAACUUGGAACAUCAGCUGCAUCAUAAGCUUUUAAUAAAAAACCUCCAUCAUUUAUUCCAUCAAAAUUUUGUUCUAUUAGGUCUAAGCACCUUGAACCAAAGUCAAAUUCUCUGUACAGGUCCAGUUCAUGUUGUUAGAUGGCUUGAUUAGUUUAAUCACUAUAUAUACAAUUCAGCAACUAUUUCAUGUUUAUAUUAUCCUACUUCACAGAAAGCAGAGGGCAGUUUGCAUUGUGAAAAUAUUACAUGGAAAUUAAGAACCUUAGCUACAGUGCAAGUGGAUGUAACAGAUUUAAUGACAUCAUGAAGAAUGUGAUAACUACUUUUAUAUUAUCCUACUUCACAGAAAGCAGAGAGCAAUUUGCAUUGUGAAAAUAUUACAUGGAAAUUAAGAACCUUAGCUACAGUGCAAGUGGAUGUAACAGAUUUUAUGACAUCAUGAAGAAUGUGAUAACUACUUUUAUAUUAUCCUACUUCACAGAAAGCAGAGAGCAGUUUGCAUUGUGAAAAUAUUACAUGGAAAUUAAGAACCUUAGCUACAGUGCAAGUGGAUGUAACAGAUUUUAUGACAUCAUGAAGAAUGUGAUAACUACUUUUAUAUUAUCCUACUUCACAGAAAGCAGAGAGCAGUUUGCAUUGUGAAAAUAUUACAUGGAAAUUAAGAACCUUAGCUACAGUGCAAGUGGAUGUAACAGAUUUUAUGACAUCAUGAAGAAUGUGAUAACUACUUUUAUAUUAUCCUACUUCACAGAAAGCAGAGAGCAGUUUGCAUUGUGAAAAUAUUACAUGGAAAUUAAGGACCUUAGCUACAAUGCAAGUAGAUGUAACAGAUUUUAUGACAUCUUGAAGAAUGUGAUAACUGCUUUGUAAAAGUGUACAUUUAUUUGGAGAGGGAAAUAGACUAAGACUAUGUUUGGAAAGUGUUUUCAAAAACAAUUUUGAAAAACAGGUUUUAAGAACAGUUUUUUAAAACUAUUCUUUGUUGUUUUGUAGAACAAAAAUCUGUUUAGGAACCUAAAAUGUCCUUAACUUGUUUUUUAUGUUUUUAACUAUGUUUUAAAAAUAAAUUUUAUAUAUAGUGCUUUAUUUUUAAUCAUUCUCUAUAUUUAUAUAAUUAUUCUUUAAAACAACCCUCAAAAAACAAGUGAAAACAACUAAAAAUAACUAAAAGAUGUUAUCCGAAAAUACCAUAUUUUCUGUUUUUAAGAGUAAAAAUUUGUUUUUCAUUUUUUGAUUAUCAAAUGUGUUUUCUGUUUUUUUGUUCCGGAAAACAAAAAAAUGUUCUAAAAUACAAUUACCAAACAGGGCCUAAAUAUCCAAUUUUGUUGCAUUGAACCUGUGCACUACUCCAUAGGAAUCAUAAUCUGAUGGAAUUCACGCAGUUGUUUAAGUUGAAAAAAUCAAGACAAUAUUUGUGAUGGAGGACAGAAAAAAAUGAAAUCAAAGGAAGUUCUGCAUAGCAAAGAGCAAUCAGAUUUCCAGGUUACUACAGAUAAAGAUCGAAGGCAAUUUCUUCCUUUUUUGUUUAAAAUAAUCAAAAGUGCAUAAGUCAUUCUGAGAAUUGUAAUACUAAGACCAGAGAUGAGUACGGGGAGCCUCUAAAAAGGGAAAGUAACAAACCUGGUCUGUGAGGGCUACAAUGCAAGCUGUUGAAGAUCCUUUCGCUUUUGUGCUUGAGUGGGCCUUCUCUAACACCCUAGAUGGGUCAAUCGAACCCUUUGGCUCUUCCUGAAUUGCAGUUACUGAAUUAGACAUAAGUUCUCGGGCAUAUUCUCCUGCAUCAACACCAACAUCUGCCCAGCCACCAACACCAUCUGCCACACCAAUAGCUUGUUCAUCUAUGCAAAUAAAAUGAGCAUCUUCUCCACCUGUUUCUUCCUUAUCAGGGUGUGGCAGGUAACAUGAUCCUGAAAUUAGCUUCAAGGUUCUGUGACCUAGAAUAGCUCUGCAGUCAACACCAAGGCAAAUUAAUAAAUAAAAUCAAUGAGAAAGAUAACACCUAUCUACGAGGAAAGCUCCUUCAAGUGUUAUCAAACCUUUUGCUUGCCCAAAUUGACUCAAGAAAAUUUAUGGGACAUAAUAUCAUGAAUUCUUAGGAUCUCUCCAAAAAUGCAUAAAACUCACGUUUCAACUCCAAAACCUGGUCGGAGGUGGAACACAAAAAUUAAAACAGCAAAUUAGGAUUCUAUUUUCCAUUUUCUAUUCUAAAAUUCCUUCAUUUGGGUAAAGUUCCUUCCAUUGUUUAAUUGUCUCAUAUAGAUACCCAUACUGGCAAAAGAAUGAAACCUUAGAUCCUGAUGCUGGUUGUCCUGUAUCCAAACUGAUUAUGUCAUACAGAUAACCAUACUGAUGAAAUACUGGAACCUUAGAUCCAGAUGCAGGUUGUCCUGUAUCUAAAUGAAUUAGUUUCUUGAUUCUGGUAAUCCAGCUAAAGUGAGCAAACCACAAAACUACAAACAAACCAUUUACAUGGUUCACCAACAAUGGAAUGCGUUACAUCCAACAGCCAAAUUAGGGAUUAAAUAAUGCAGAGAAAACAUAACAUUUCAGGAAUCCUGUCAAAAUGCCAUCUGCUUCCAUUAAAAUAAGAAAGGGAGCCUAUCCUGCACCCUCCUGGCCUUCUACCUCCGCCACUCCACCCACUGGCAUUAAUUCAUUUUUAGCCAUAUUUUCUAUCUAAAUCCCCAUAUUGCCUUGAUGCAAAAUACAUGUACGAUAAUUCAAUUGGAUCAUUUCUGCUCAGAUGAACUUCUGUGUAGUAAUAAAUGUUACCUAGAAAUAAACUACCCCACCAUCAUCAUCUCUAGCUGCCAUCCAGCUAAAAGCCUCCAUCAAUACUAUAUAAGAAAGAAAAAAUCAAGGGUCGCCUUCUCAAAUAAUUAAUUUAUUUGGCUAUUUUCUACAAUUAAUUGGGUCUAUGAAUCACAGCUGAGGCUACAGGACAGCCGUGGCUCAGUGGCAGUGUCAAACAAUUGCUGAAUAGACACACUUUAGUGGGCCAAGCAUGUCAAAAACAGAAAAGUAGACUUUUAUCUGAAUACGCACAAACGACACUGUAUAUUUUUUUUUCACCAAUAAUUAUAACACUUCAUUUAUAAAGGUUUGAAAACCAACACAGAGAUUACAACAUUUCCUUCAUUUUUUCCAACACGCACACACACACAAAACACCUUGUACCUUUUUUCCUAAUAGUUAUAACAUUUACUUCAUUUAUAAAAGUUCCAAAAUUCUUCUAUUAAGUUUAUUCAACAUUACCACCACCCCCCCACCCCUUUUUUUUAUAGUUAAACAAGAGAUAUAUUAAAAGCACAUCAAAGUACACAUGAUGUAUACAACGGUGGCCAAAAAAGGAAAGGGGUACAAAAAACUACUUCCUCCCUCAGUGAGAACCCAACCAAUCAAUAAAAUGACAAAGGGACAUAGGGGCUUCAACUAUGUACAUCUUGGACCAGGAAAACAAGUUACAAAGGAAAAAGUUUUUCAGUCUUCUAUUACACUCUCUCAACACCUUAUACCUUUUAAAAAAGGAAAGUUGUGACAUUUCCUACAUUUAUAAAAUUUCCAAAACAUUACAACUAUUAUUCUAUCAUCAGCAUUACACUUGACUACCAAAAGCACAGAUUUUCUUUCUUAAAAUAAGUAUAUUUAUUACGAAUAAAAAUUGUAAAGAAAAUAGGGCACAACCAGGAUCGAACCGGUGACCUCUUAAUCUGCAGUCAAAUGCUCUACCACUGAGCUAUGCCAUUCAUAUACGCCAUGUCCAUGUCCUAUUCUUUCAGGAUUUGUGGAUGGAUCUUGUCUGCGUCUCCACUGAUAUAGAAUUUCAUUUUCCCAUCCAUUUUUGAAACAAAUGUUUAUCCUGACCCAUUUACUUUUCAAAGAUGAAGGAAAACUCUUUGAUGUUCAUCUCUGAGAAAGAAAGGAAGAACUGCAGAGGACAUACCUAGUCGGUGAAGAGAUAAAUCGGAAACACCUAGUUGGAUGACAACAAAUGAUAAUAAGUGAAUAGAUUAAAGGUGUAAAAACCUUCGGUUUGGUUGGUUUUUGCAAGAAAUUUUGGCUGAACUGAAAUGGUCAGUGUAUGCUUCAAUCAAGCUAAACCAAGCUCUUAAUGACACAAGAACAAACCAAAUCAAGCUUGUUGAGGCCGAUGUGGUUUUAUUCAGAUAGAUUGGCUUGAUGCUCGUAAAAAAACAAAUGGUUCAUCAGUGCUGAACACCCAUGCACUUGCAAUAUUGAAGAUUGCAACGUGGCCCUGGCAUUUCCAACCAUGCAACUCAAUUGCACCUGCUGAUCUCCAAAUAUCAAAGACUACCAAGGUUUUCUAAUUCAUACCCAUUCUCCCAAAACAUUUCAGUUUAUCACAUUCACAAAUCUCCAAUCGUUCAAGGUUUGUUAAGAAUCAGCCAAACCCUUCCUACAAACCACUCAUUCUUGAUAUUAAUUCCUGAUGAGAUGAAUAUGGGGAAAUCAAUAACCCCUCAUUAUAUUUCCUUAAAUCCAAUUAAAUAUUAUAUGCGAAGAAGUAAAACUCUGUUUUCAGUUAGGAGAAAAAAACUGAAAACUGAAGUGACCAAUCAGUUUCCACAAAUCCCAAAUAGAACUGCACUCACAGUUGUUGAAAGCAAACCAACUUAGUUGGUUCUAGUUGGGUUGGAUCUAUACUGCAGGCUAUCAGUUCUUCACUUAUAUCCCUAGGAUAAAUAGCCAAAACAUAUUAUGCAAGAAAUGUAAGCUAGAAUGAAAUAGCAAGCAAAUACUUAUACACGAGAAACUUCGACGCUGCUUCAACAAAUCAGACUUAAUCAACAGUGAUAGAGUGCAUGACAAUGCAAUCGAACUUUUACAAAUCAAGAUACACUUUUAGGUGCAACUUAAUAAAGGCAAAAACAUAGAAGAAGCACAAGAAGAGAGUACAUACUGGUCAGAUGACGCUGCAGACUUUGAAAGCUGUUCAUCACUCGAAGAUCCACCAAAAGAUACAUCUGGAGCAGCUCCAGCAGAGUAACAUGAAGAAGACCAUGUAUGGAAGUUUUUAAACCAUGGUCCAUCAAGUGGAUUAGAGAUGCAAUUCCUCCGCGUUACAUCAAAUAUUAGAUACCCACAAACCAGACUACGGUUGGGUGGUUCUUGAUUUCUUAAACUCAUGCUAGCUUUUCGACAACUGCUAAGACUUCUAUCAUUGAAAAACACACCAGUAGGUUUUGCAAAGUUUGAGAGAUUCCCAGUUGCAGUUAUUUCAUCAAUGUAAAUAUCUCCUGAGACAGCCUUGGAACCAGAAGCAGCCAUAGAUUUUUUAAGAUACAGAUUGCUUUUUGAAAAUCGACCGAUGUCAGAUAUCAAGCUAUUAAUUUGAUAUUCAAAAAGCUGAGAAGAUGGACUUGGCAUUGAGUGCAGAGAAAGGGAUCGGGAAACAGGUACCCCAACUGCCAGGCCUCUUUUCUGAUUAACAAAGUAACAAUCUGGUCUUGAGGAAAGCACUGUAGUUGAAAAUGGAGAGGAAAGGCACAAGCCGGUAUUUCCAGUCAACAAUUUACUCCACCCAAGCUGCAAUUCAAUUGAACUGUGGAGCCCACCUCUUUGUGCAGUUAUCGCUCUCCGGAUGCCAGAUGAGAAAGCGAUGUUCAGAUUUGGGAAAACACCAGAUGGCAUUAUACCAGUAAACAAUACACACUUGAGUCCAAUAUUCUUUUGAAGAAAACCUGAUUCCGAGAACUUUGCCGAAAAUUAUGUCUCAUAACUUGCAAUACAUCUAUUGGCAAGUUAACUAUCAACGAUUCCCUAUUCACCUCUCAACACUGAAGUACAGAAAACUCUGAAACCUGAUCAAGAAAGAAAUUUUGAAGUAAAUAAGAAUAUAAAUACUUUCACCUAGAUAAUCACAAAAUCUCAAAAAAGAAAAAGGGGAAAGGAGCAGGAAUUGGAGACCCCAAAGUUAAAAUGUAGCCUCACUGUCACCUCCAAUGGUAAUUAAAGAAUAUCAUUUUCCCUAGAAGCAAACGGAGCAGUUUAAACUAUUCUGCCACUAGUUUUCUUUUAUCCUCUUCCGAUAUUUCCCAUAAUCCAAACGGAGCCUAAACAAACGAUAAUCUCAGUCACCUCGUAAUCAAAGGGAAAGAAAAUGAAAAAUAAAUAAAUAAUGAAGUAGAGAAACAAAACCCCACAAAGAUAGUGCAAAAUCAAAAUUCAAAUAAAAUCAAUAACCAAACUUCAGAAUCCAAAAACAAAAUUGAAACGAUCACUUCGAAGGAAACUACAAAACCCUAGAAACCAGACCAGUGACUUACUAUAAGCUCCAAAUGCACGUAUCUGUGGAAGGAAGCUUGUCGGCUUCGGAUAUCUUGCAGGAGAUAAUAACGAGCGAGGGGGUGGUUGUACGGAACUACGGUGCUACCGGGGUCUGAGCUUCAGACCUGUGCACCCAGGGCGAAGUUUAGCGAAUUGGAGGCCGGAAGGAGCGAGCUCCGUCCAUUCGUUUUAUGCGACCAGGCGAGGGGAAGGAGGAUUUGACAACUUGUCUGCGCGCAAGGGUAUUCUUGUCAUUUUCUGAUUUUCUAGCGGCAAUUUGGUCAUUUAAAUUUAAAAUUCUGCGACUCACGACCUACUCAUUGGAUUUUGGUUUUCUUAUUGUGGAUUCUUUACACCUUUCGCGAACCAUUUAGCGCAUGAUAAUAAUUUAAGUCCAUAGUGUUUUAAAAAAUACUUAUUUAGUUUUGAGAGGAAAAUAUAGGGUCUAUGAUAGUUGUUUUUAAAAAUAGUUUUUUAUUUUUUAAAAUAAAAAAUUAUAAAAUAUAUUUAACAAUUAAAAAACCAUUUCCUAUUUUCAAUAAUAGAAAACUAUUUCUUUUCAUAAAACACUUUUUACUUAUUUUCAUUGUUUUCAUUUAUUUAUUGAAAGUAGUUUUAAAAAAAUAAUUAUACAAAUAUGUAUAAUAAUUAAAAAUAAAGUUAUAUAUAAAAUAAUUAUUUUUAAAGCAUAUUUAAAAAUAUUUUAAGUUCUCAAACGAAUUUUUAUUUUAUAAAAUAUUAAAUAAUAAUUUUUAAAUGUUAUUUUUUAGAACUAUUUUUAAAAACAAUUACCAAAGGGUCAUAAGUUUCUAAUUUGAAAAGGAUGUUUGGUAAAUUAUUUUUGCCUGUUUUAUUAUAAUUGGUUAUAAAAAUAGAUUUUUUGAAGUAUUUUUAAAUGUUUGAAAAUAUAAAGAAUAAAAUUUAGUAUAUAUAUAUAUAUUAAAUAAUGACAUAAAAAUAAAUGGAAAUUUUUAUUUUCUUAUUUAAGUUUUCAUUGUUGUUUAAAAUCAUUGAAAACUAUUUUUUCAAAUAUUAUCAAGUAAACUCUAAAAUUUUUGUCCAAUUUUGAGUGCGUAUAGAAAAGCUAAAGGGAUAAAAAAACGAAAGUAUUUUUAAAAAAAUUAUAGUUAGUUUCUAAAAGGUACUAAAAAAAAGGUGAUUUUUAUAUAGUUACAUUAUAUGAAAAUGUUAUGAGAAAAUAUAAAUAUAAAUAAGUAAAAAAAAAAAAAAAAAGGCUCAUUUCAUUACUCAGUCCAUUUGAAAGUAUCAUAUGAAACACUUUUAACCUAAUAUAUAUUUUUGAAAAAAAAUAAAUAAAUUAAGAGUGUGUUUGGUUGUGAUUUUAAAAGGUGUUUUUGGUCUUUCUAACACUUAAAUUUUUUUUUUUAAAUCAGCACUAAACGCACUCUAAGUAUUUGAUAGAUUUUAUGAAAUACUUCUAAAAAUCUAAAACAUCACUUGUAGCAUUGGAAAAAAAAACAUUUAAUAUGUAUUCUCCUAAAAACACUUUUCGAUAAAUAUUUUAACUAUAAACACUAUCAAAUACACUCUUAACUAUUAUUAAUCAAAUUAAAAUUUUGUCAAAUACAUCUUAUAUUUUAAGAGUCUAUUUAAGAAAGCGUUUUUAGUUUAAAAGUAUUUCUAAAAAAAUAUUAGGUAUUUGACAAAAUUUAAAAAAUAUUUUUAAAUUUUUGAAAAAUUAUUUAUAGUAUUAAAAAAUCAUUUUAUAAUAUUUUUUGAAAAAACACUUGUGGUUCUACCAAAAAAAAAAUUUAUGAGAAAUACUUUUACUAAAAUUACUUUUAAGUGGUAAUACUCUGGCACAUACUUUAAGUUAAAAGGAAAGUCACCAAAAAUAAGAAAUGAAAAGAAAAGGACAGGACAAAAAAAAAAAAAAAGGGUCAAACACCUCCAUUGUUUUAAGUUAACAAGGAAAGUGAAAGAAAGGAAAAGAAUGGAAAAAUAUUCGUUGAAAUUUCAGUCCAAUAGAGUUUACACAAAAAGUCAACAAAAUUAAUUCUAUAUGUGGACCCCGCAUUUUUGCUCGAUGUAUUCCCACUUGAUGACAAACUCGUUUUUUAUUUAUUUUGUGAAAAAAUGAUUUUUAGAAAAAAUACUUAGAGUCACCACUUAUUUUAAAUUUUUUUUUUUAAGGGAAAACAAAAUAAGAAAGAAAACUCUAUGUGAAUCCUUAUUUGAAAAAGACAGACUGUGAAAAACCGAGUCGGGUUCGGGGGUCAAAUUAUUUAUUGGGAAGGUACAGUUAAAAGACCAUAGCACCUCUGUAAGUCCCUAAAAACGAGUCUCUAUUAAAUAAGGUGAAGGAAACAUGUCAAUUAACUAGGAAAUCAAUAGAUACCAAUGAAAUGAUCAAAUAAUAAAAUGAAUCAUGUAUGAGAAUAAGCAAAGUGGGAGUGAGAGCGUACUUUGGCAGCAAGUAAUAGUGUGCUAUCAUGGAAAUAAGGUUAACUCGAGUAUAAAAUUACUACAUACAUAUCAAAGAGUAAGACAAAGAUCAAACAAUAUUCAUUAAACAUAGCAGUUGACAAUCAGAAGAGAUCAUAUGUAGGGCCCCCACCAAAGCCCAAUUUAUCUUGCAUGAAUUAAUCCCACAAAUUUCAUUGUUUUGGAAUUAUGAAAAUUGUCUUCAUGCUUAUUAAAAAUCAAGAAAAAUGGAAAAUUAUUUUAAAAUCAAAGAAAAUUUGUGAAAGUGUCUACUUGAAAGGAAAUGUGGCAAGUUUAUUAUAAAAAAAACGGGAUUUUUAAUAACUUAAAACCCUAAUGAAGGAUGAAAAGUGAUAGAAUUAAAAAAAAAAUUUGAAAAUUGGAGCAGAAUUAAAAUUAUUUGAUAAAUUGGACUUUUGAAAAUUAGAGUUUUAAAAAUUUAUUUGAAAAUCGGAAUCUCGAAAAUUACAUUUAAAAAAAUAUUUGAAAAUGUGAGUUUCUUUCAAAUUUAAUUUAACUAUCAUUAAAAUAUUGAGAAAAAAAAUUAUUAAAUAAAAUAAUUGUCUUUUUGUGGACCCCGCAUUUCGGCUCAUGCGCUUCCACUCGAUGGCAAACCCACUUUUUAUUUGAAAAAAUAAUUUGUUUAUUAAUAAAAUGACUUGGAGUCACCACUUAUUUUUGUUUUGUUUUUAAAGGAUAAACAAAAUAAGAAAGAAAACCCUAAGUGUGACUUCUUAUUUGGAAAAUGUGGUCUGAAUGGGCUCGGGGAUCAGGUUACUUAUCGGGAAGGUACGGUAAAGACCGUAGCACCCCUCUAAGUCCCUAAAAACGGGUCUCUACUAAUGAAAUGAAACAAUCAUGACAAUUGAUAGGGAAAUCAAUUAAUACACAAAACUAUCAUGCACAUGUGAGAAUCAAAACACACAUAAAGAAUGGCCAGAGUGAGAGCAAGUGUGUACCUUGGCAGCAAUCAACAAUGCGCUAUUAAGAAAUGGGGUUAGUGCAUAAUAAGGAUCAUGAAAUAUGCUACACAUGCCACCAAAGAGAGUGAGAAAUCAUCAAAUAUCACAAUUCAACUUCACUCAAUCUCAUUUUUUGCUUUAAACUUCUAUGAUGUAGGGCCCCCACCAAAGCCCAAUUUAUUUUUGCAUGAAAUCAAUUCCAUAAAUUCCAUCACUUGGAAUUACGAAAUCUAAUUCUUGCUUAUUUUAAAACAUUUUUAAAAAAUCAUGGAUGUUAUGAAAAUUGCAUGCUAUAAAGAAAAAUGGCAGCAAAGUUUUAUUAAAAAUGGGACUCUUGGGUGAUCCUAAAAAUUCUAAGGACGAAAGAUAGGAGAGUUGGGAUUAUUCGAAGAAAAUCAAAAUUUGAAAAAUUAUUUACAAUAUGGGGUUUGGCAAAAUUAUUUUUCAAUAUCAAAGAUGAAAAAAAACAGGAGAGUGAGAAGUGACCAAAAAUGGCCAUGCAAACCAUGUAAAUUGGAAGCACAUAGAAGUGGGCCCAGGGUAAAAUGAUGGUUUGAGAGGAUUGAAAGAUUGAGUAGGGGAAGCAGACCCCAACACAACAUGCUCAACACUCAUUCCAAGCAACUGUUGAAUUGUGAGGCCAAUGUAGGAUCCACAAUAUUCACAUAGAACACACCAUCAAUCAAUAUGCUGACGUUGUCCUUGGCAAUAGCAGAUUGGUCUGGGAUUGGAAUUACUUCUUCCUUGAGUGAAUGUGCAUUGGUCCGAUGAUAGUUGAGCACUUUGAGACCACCUAGCUUCCAUUGCGAUGGCAUGUAUGUAGAGGAAUCAAUAUCUAUUCGAGGAGCUCCUUAAUGUCCACCUCAAAUCUCUUCUGGACCUGAUUAAGAACAUCAUAUUCAGAAGCUGAUGAAACAAAUACAAUUGCUAGUCAUUUGGUGCCAAAUCUUUCAACUCUACCAACCCCAUGUGGAUAAGUGUCUGCAGAAUCUGGCAUGCCAUAGUUGAUAACAAUAUUGACACACUCAAUGUCAAUUCCCCUACCAACCAAAUCCGUGGCCACAAGAAUCCUUUUAUGCCCCUCCUUGAAACCCUUGUAGUGUGUUAACCUUUCUUCCUACCCGAUCCAAAGACCAUCCUCUGUAGUGAAUCCAAAUCAAAGCCGGUUUGAGAAAUAUCACCACGAGCUUCGGUAACCUCAUUCUUAAUUAAAUUCGAGGUCUCCUUCUGCCCAUCCAGUUUUCCAUCCAAAUUCUCAAUUCGCUGUGUCAACUGCCUUUUUGUUGUAGAAAGAGCACCUGAGAUAUGCUCCAAAUGCUUUUCCAAGUCUGUAACCGUAGUUUUCAUAUCCUUCUUUGUUACAUACAUAAGAUCUGUGACCCUCCGUCACGUGUAAGUACAAUAUCCCAAUGCUCCGAGGUGGCAACUGAGAUUGCAAGGGAUGCUAUGUUGCCAAAUUAGCCAGAAUUCCCAUUCAGAACAGUUAUUCUGUUGAGCUAAAGCAAGUUGUUUGAACCUACAGCCCUUCCAUUGCUUCCAAUCUACAGAACAUCCCAAACCUCCUGAAUAUUCUCAACUUUGGCUUCCACAAUCCCUGGUACAUGAUGGACCCCUUCAAUUGUUUGUUUUAUCUUUAACUUCUUUGAGGUUGGUAAAGUGGCAAACAGGUCUCUGAUUUGUUCAUUGCAGACUUCAAGCACGCUAACAGGUAUUUUAUAUGUAAAAAUUUCUUUCAUUUCCUCUGCAAUCUCAAACAAUUGCUCCAAAGUCUUAAAAUUGACUCCUCGGUUCUUAUUGGUAAUCUCAAUCCAAGAAAUCCUUUUCUUAAGAAGCUACAUUUCAUCAUAUGAAAUUCUUUCCACACGAGUGCAAAGUUAUGCCUGCAAGUAUUCUAGCUGUUGGUGCAUUUUUUGUAUUUCAUUUGAUGUCAAAUCCCUGUUAGCUAUGGACUCAUUAUGAACAUUGUGAACACGAUCAACAUAUUCGCUAAUAAUAAGAGUUUCCUCAGCAUGGAUAUCAACAGGAUUGAUGCAAGCUCUCAUAACAGUUUAUGUAUUUCUACCAGAUGAAUUUCCAGCGCACUAAUGACAUAAAACAAACUGACAGAAUCCGCAUGCAGCCAAACACCUCAUGAACCAUUUCUAGUUAGGUACCUUUUGGCCCAACUAUAUCCGAGAGAAACGAACAUUUUUAUUACGGAAUGACUUGACUCGCUCAUCCCAACCUGCAGCCACACUAACAAAAUCCCAUGCGUGAGGACUGAUGGGCGAUGAGCUUGAAGAGUAGGAAGGUUGAGGUGGCAUCUCGAGUAAUGAAGGGUAAUGAGAGGGGUGUGUUUAGUGGUGGAAUAAAUGGAAAAGGUGAAGAGAGAAGUAGGUUUAUGGGGUUAGGAGUUUGAUGAGUAUUUGGAAAAUGGGUAUGUGCAUGGGGGCAUGAAAGGUGGGUAUGGAGAUGGGUGUGAGGAAGUGGGCUUGGUGAUGGGUUUGGUGAAAUACGAGAGACGGAAUUGAAUGAUUGAAACGUUUGCGAAUAUUUGUGUGGCCAUGCAAAGGUGAGAUAAUGGGUUUAAAGGGUAUUGGAAAAUAGGUAUGAAGGGCACGUGGUGUAGAGAGAUAGGGCAUAGUGGGUAUGAUGGGUAUGGGAAGAAUGGGUGGUAUGUAUGGGUAUGAAAAUGGGUGUGAAAGAGUAAGCAGUGGGUAUGUGGAAAAGGUGAAAGCUUAGAUUCAGCGCCAUGGGUUGACAUCUGGAUAUGGAAAUUGGGUGUUUGCUCGCGAUGCUAGAGGUUGGCUGCAUAUCUACACAUCAAAAUAAGGAUUCCGAAUUGCCUCAUGCUACAACUGUGCACAAAGUUCAGCCGGGCAGCAAACACUAUACAAUUAUAUUUUCAAUGGUGACCCAUCACAGCAAUACUGUCCCAGUGCCAAUUGACCCUGUGAAAGCAAGCUUGCCCACAUCCAUAUGGUUGGCAAACGUUGUACCAGUAGUUAGACCAUAAAUAGAAACCACAUUUGGAACAUCUGGAGGGAGCUCGACCUCAUGCAAUGACUUUGAUACAUGUUAAGUAAACAAUGGUGCCUACUCUGCAGCCUGUCCAAUAACGCCAAUGGGUUCAUGCAAGGUUUUCACUUGAUGCAAUUCAUCACCAGGAGGAUUGAUUGGUACUUCAACAGCUACAAUAGUGCCAUGUAUAAAGAUCUCUUUUCUCUGGGGUAAAUUCCUCAUUCAAGCGUAACAAGUCUAAAAUAGAACCAUCUGAAACUUCCCAUAGAUAUACAAUACCUCCAAGAACAAUAGUCAGAACGUUGCUUCCACCCAAGUCCAGUAAGUUCAAGUGAUAAUCAUCCACCAGGUCAUGAACACCCAAAUUCUCUCAAAUGAUGAUAUACGAACCAAGGCAUUUCACAACUAGCUACACAGGGGCAGAGGAGUACGAAGGAGGGAAUGGCUAAUAACAGAGUAAAAAUGAAAAACUCCAGGGGUUAUUAGACAAAGCCCCAUUUCAUGAGUAAUGAAUGGGCUCAAAAUCGGUGAGACAAACUGAAAGUCUACAAUAUAACUAUCAAACAUCAAACUCAAAAAAGAAUCCAGCCAUUUACAAGGAAGAAUAAAGAGUAUGAGAGGGGACAAAACAGAGAAAAUGUAAUGCGAGCUUAAGUACAACAAACCCAACAAUCAACACUUAAGAUCAACAAUGACAAGGAAAGAACAUCGAGAAAUCCAAAGCGAAAGUGUCCGUAGUGUUCAUACCUGAGCUCCUCAGGUGAAAAUGGUUCAACUCCUUCUUCUCCAGAAUAUUUGGCUCCUCUGUAACAAAAAUCUCCAACAACCAACACAUUUCUCACCUUCUCAUAGCAAACGCUCCCCUCUCAGUCUUUUUCUGUUACCCUCUAGAAAAUAUCAUCCCUCACUCCCUCUCUGUAACUCUGAAUAUCUAGCUUCCUCCCCAAGAAAAUGAAAAUAUCCCCCUGUAACUCUUCCUCCAGCUUGCUUUGCUCCCUCUAUAAUUUCUCUGGUAGUCUCACCAUUUCUCUCGUAAUCCCAACUUUCUCUCCAAGCUACCUCUUCCUCCUGAAAAAAAAAUGUCUCUGUAAAGCAACCACCAAAAACGCCUCCCUCUAGCAGCUUGCUCUCCAAGCUCAAUCCUCUUCCCCAAAAUAUCUAUGUCAACCCAGCAACAAAAUCACCUCCCUCUGCCAACAUAAUACGCCCCUUUCUUACAACGGCCUGCAACUUUUCUCAUAAUAUUCUUGACACAUGUCGACCUCCCAUUGCCUCUCAAAAGCACUAUUGUGAUUCCCUAGCAGUCAUCCAUGAGUCGACACGUGGCCACCCAGAAUCGUGACACCUGGCAAAAAUGAGCUACAUGAAUAUGAGAAAAACGAGCCCCAAAAUGGGGGUCUACACUUUUAUUUGAGCUUUGACCCAAAAGACUACUUUUAAAAAAAAAAAUCCAUAAAGUACCCCCAUUUCUAAAAUAAUGCCCAAUCUAAUGUGUCUACGCCACGUAGAUUGCCGCGUCAUAAAACCGUAGUUGGUAACUACGGUUUUAUUUUUUAAAAACAAUCAAAACCGUAAUCACCAACCACGGUUUUAACUUUAAGUUUAAAACCGUAGUUGGUGACUACGGCUUUGAUUAUUUUUAAAAACAGUCAAAGUCGUAGUCACCAACUACGACUUUAACUUUCCUUUACCUUUUCCCCCUUUCCCGAUUAGAUUUAUUCAUUUUCCCAAUUUCAUUUUCCCAAUUACCUUUCUUCCUUCCCAGUUACCUUUCUUCCCUUUAGGGUUUCGUCUAUUUAGAGUUUCAUCCUUCCCUGGCAUCCUUGGCUCAAAUUCAAAGUUUGGAAGUCAUUGUUCAGGUAAGAUUUAUGAGUUUUUCAGUUUAUCGUAAAUUUUAAUUUUUUUUGUAAAUCCGUUUGGUUUUCACGUUGUUGUUGUUGUUAUAGAUGUGUUUGGGUUCUAUUUGGUAAAGAUGUGUUUGAUAUUUUUAUUUUUAUUUUGAUUGUGAGCUUAUCAGAAAGAAAAAAGGGUUUUUUGGUAAGAAAACGGAUAUGGAAUGGGGGCCAACAUGGAUUUUUUUUUGUUAAAGAUACCAAAAAUGGAGGGAACCACUGUAAAAAAAACUCCAAAAAUGAACGAGAGGAGCGGUGAUUUUUGUUAUAGGAAUAGAAAAAAUAGGAGUAUUCCACUUUUCAAGGGUUAGAUUUAUCUUAAGCUAAGAGAUUUCUUAUUCCUCACAAUUGGGUAUUUUCUUGAACCUAGUGAUGAAAAGGAUUUCUGUGAAGGCUUGAAUUUUGGAAGACUCUUCUUCUUGCAUCGGGUCCUCAGAACCUGACACCCCACUCCAACAACAUGAGCUUCAAAGUAAAGUAACCACGUAAAGAAUCGAACAGAAAUUAAGUAGUUAUAGGACUUCCCACAGAUGAGUUAAUCGUAUUGCAAGGCUUCCUAUAAAAGAUAUUUAAUCUUACUGUAAAUUUCGGACCACUUGAAAAUAAAACAGGAGAAUAUUUAUCCUAAAUAACCAAAAAUAAAAUUAAGAAUGGAUCUGUAUUUUCUCUAAGUUGGGAUCUAUUGAUGAAUAUUUGGGUUGAAUUCAACCUUCCUUAAUAGAGAGCUAGACCUUUCCAGGUGGUUCAACACCCUAAAAAAUUCACUUUCGUGUGCCAUGGCUGCAUUAAAUACUCAAAUUAUAUAUAUAUAUAUAUAUAUAUAUAUAUAUAUAUAUAUUCAAACUUCAAAUACCCCUUUGGAUGUGUUCUUGUUUGGAACUCCAUGGCCCUGUUAAUUUUGCCCUCUCUUAGUCUUAUGUGGCCAAAACACCCAGCCCAAGUAAAGGACAUGCAAAGUUCAGAUGUCUUAAUCAAGCUAAGCAAGUUGCAUAUUGUGUUCCUUUGGUACCUGCAUCUUCUAGUUUCAUCCAUUGUAUUUGUAUGGACAUGACAUGAUAUGAGUGUUGGUAUGAGAUCCUUAUAUGAUACUCCUAUUUUGCUUUAAAGCAAGUCAUUUGAUUUUAAUUAAUUUAUUUAUAUUUUCAACUUUCUUAAAAAAUAAGGGUUAAUUUCAUUCGUUUUCUUAGAAGUUUUGGUUAAGUGCACUUAAUCCUUAUUGGUUUAAAAUUUGAUCAAUUAUCUCCUUUAUUUUUCUCAUUUGUUAUUUUCAGUCACCUCAUCUCUUAUUAAAAAAUAAGUAUUAUUUUCAGUCACCUCUCCUCCUAUUUAAUGAAAUUUCAAAUCAAUAAGGAUAAAGUGUAUUUAGCCAAAUCCUGGGGGGAUGUGAGAGAAAUUAACCUUAAAAGAUAAUUAUAUUAAAAUUUUGAUUUUGAUGGUAGUGUAUUUUUAUAAAAUUAUUUGGGAAUAAGAAACAAAUGAUAAAGAUAACAACAAAAAAAUAAAAAUAAAAACAGAGUUCUCAUUAAAAAUAUUUUUGUUUUUUUUUAAUGAUGUUUAAUUAAAUAUUCUAUAGUUUUUCCUUCUAUUUUGUUGUAUCCAAAUGUUCAUACCCAUUGUUGAGAUUUUUUAGUCAAAGCCCCAUAUCUUAAAAUUUGUCGAUAUAAAAGAUCAAACAAAAAUUUGUGUAUGCUUAUUAAUAGUAUUUAAUUAAUCAAUGAAUUCAUCAGACUUGAGGCUUCCAUGACUUUAGGGGUAUAGUAUGGAUGUUAGGUUCCCAUUGUUUCUUAUUCCUCACAAUUGGGCAUCUUGGUGAACCUAGUGAUGAAAAGGAUUUUUGUAUGGACAUGACAUGAUAUGAGUGUUGGUAUGAGAUCCUUAUAUGAUACUUUUAUUUUGCUUUAAAGCAAGUCAUUUGAUUUUAAUUAAUUUAUUUAUAUUUUCAACUUUCUUAAAAGAUAAGGGUUAAUUUCAUUCGUUUUCUUAGAAGUUUUGGUUAAAUGCACUUAAUCCUUAUUGGUUUAAAAUUUGAUCAAAUAUCUCCCUUAUUUUUCUCAUUUGUUAUUUUCAGUCACCUUGUCUCUUAUUAAAAAAUAAGUAUUAUUUUCAGUCACCUUUCCUCCUAUUUAAUGAAAUUUCAAAUCAAUGGGGAUAAAGUGUAUUUAGUCAAGGGAGAUAUGUCUCUGUGGAUGGGGAAGGUUGUGUGUAGACCCUCAAUUUUGUCCCUUUAGCACAUGUCUUUAAAUUUGUUUUCAGUGCUCCACAGUAACUCCUUAGUGGCCCAUUAUUACUCGUAUAACUUACCCUUUUCUGAGUCACCUCGAAAACUUUGGUUGAGGGAUUAUCUGACCUCUUAUUGUGACCCUUGGCAGCCCUAUUCUAGACUUAGGUUUUUCAUUCAUUUUUAAGAUAGCUUUUAGGGUAGUCUACUUGGCCCAUUUAGACACCCUAGGUCCAUUUAGGCACCCUUGUCCCAACCUUAGGCUCAUUUAGGUUCACCUAAGCCCUUUUAGACGCACUUGGCCCAUUAAGACUUUUUUUUAACGUGACUUGUAUGACUUGCAUAGCCCGCAUGGGAUGGACUGUUUUAUUUCAUUUCAUUUUAUUAUGUUUUACUUUAUUUAUUUUUAUCUUAUUUUAAUCCUUGAUAAGUUGUAAGAUUGCUAACUUUUUUUUUUAUUUUUUUUAUUUUUUUUAUUCUCUCUAUUUUCGUUUUUUUUGUUUGGCAAGAGAAUGGGGGCUACUAUUCAAAUCUGACUAAGGUAUGUGCACUAAAAAACGUAAGAAAAAUAUUUUGUGAGGGAAAAAGGAAUUAAUGUGGCUGCAUACAUAUGGAAAUAAGAGAUCCUAAAUGAGCAUUCUGAUUUUCGAAAAAGGAAAGGAAAUAGAAGAAAGGAAAGUGGAUUUUCUUUAGCAUAUUUGGUUUGAGAGGCUGAUACAAAUAUAAGGAAAAGGGAAAAGAAGAAGGGGGCAUGAGAGGAUCAUCUGAAAUGAGGCAUAUAAGAGAGGGACUUGGAAUACGUAUAGAGAGAGAGAAGAUUGGUGGACGGAAAAAGGUUUGGAGCAGAUUUCUCAGUCGGGAAAAGGUGCAGCAGCCUGGAACCAAGCAAUUGGAGAGGAGAACGUACAGGUAUGUUUCUAGAUUUUUGCUAUAUCACCAUUUAGUUUCAAUCUUUCCUGAUUUCUUAGUUUUAUGAAGAUUCAUUCUUGUCGUGUGGUGUGGACGCAAGGGCCACAAUUUGAUUAGUUGAGACUAGUUUGCUUGCAUGUUUAUGCUAUUUUAAUAUUCCUUUUAAUGUCUUUGGUUCCAUCCGAAAGCAAUCUGAAUAUAAGUUUACCUUUGAAUUUGAUGCUAUGGGUCUUGCCCCCAUUUAUGUCCCAAUCUGGCUUUAAAAUACUCACCGACUGUCUUCUUUUCCCCUGUUUUCUUUUCUUUUCUUUCUUGGUCUUUUUGCGUGCUUCUGUAUCUACGUUUCUUCCCUUUCUUUACCUUGGUAUUCUCGGAUAUGGAGACCAUGAGCAUUCCGAGAAAGUUGGGAACUUGAUAAAGACUGUGUAAAACGGGUUUUCUGUGAGUUAAACAGAUGCAGAGGUUACCAUAGUUCUUGAGGGUUCUUAGUUUAUGGCAUCGCUCAUUCCACCCGGACGGAAAUUCUCACCAAUUCCACCCGGAUGUCUCACAGUCGCAAUUCUAUCCGGCCGACAUCCCACUCUCUUCGGAUGUCUCACAGCCGCAAUUCUAUCCGACCGACAUCCCACUUUCUCCGGAUGUCUCACAGCCGCAAUUCUAUCCGGCCGAUAUCUCACUUUCUCCAGAUGUCUCACAGCCACAAUUCUAUCAAGCCGAGAUCUCAUUUUCUCCGGAUGUCUCACAGCCGCAAUUCUAUCCGGCCGACAUCCCACUCUCUCCGGAUAUCUCACAGCCGCAAUUCUAUCCGGCCGACAUUCCACUUUCUCCGGAUAUUUCACGUCCGGCGCCCACCGCCGGAUGGGAGAGGAGGACGAUUCAACUUCCCCGGGCAGACAUGUCCGGAUCCUUCGAUAACGCUUAUCCGGAUAGCAUCUGUGGCCAAUGAUUCACACUCCGCCCGGAUAGCUUGGCUCGUCAGAUACUCGCGAUUCGCCGAAUCCAUUUCCGCCUGCAAUCAAAAAGCAAACUCCGACAAUACUGCUAAACCAAGUCUCGGUGGUGGGAAAUAACACAAAAUGCAAGAAAUACAACAAUGUAGAAAAUUGGAAAUUCUGAACCUUCAAUUCAGUAUUUGGCUUUUGUUGAGGAGAAUCCAAUUGAGCUUAUGAAUCAAGAUGUCUUUUAAGUUGAAGCAUUUGACAGUUGAACACUCUUGCAGUGAAUUGGUCCCUUCUAUCCAGAAUUUCCCGGCUUCACUUCAUGGCAACCUUGCUAUACACACCUUCUCCUCUAUUCGCUUCUUUGAUUGGGAACUUAUUGUUUUAAAUUGAAUUUUUGAACCAUUGUUCAACUAAACAUUCUCAACUUUGAAAAAUUCAUCUUUAGACCUUCUCUAGGCAAUAAAAUCCUGACUUCAACACCCUUUUGCUGCCAUUUUCCUUUCGGCAUGCGUUUUCACUAUUUUAUUUGAUUUUCAACUGAUUUUCUUGAUUUUCCCAAGCAUGAACAAACUUCAUGAUUCCAAACAAUGGAAUUCAUUGAAUCAAUUCGUGCAAAAGUAAUAUGGACUUUGGUGGGUGGUCCUACAUUCUUGAUAUCUUCACUAAUAUUGAUUUUAAAGAUGAUUGUUUGGUAUUUAAUUGAUUUUUUAUUCUUCUUGAUGAUAUACAUGAAUUUGUUUCGUAUUUAUUGUUGAGAUGCUCUUGAUUCCCAUAGAGGAGUACUAGCUUGCUAUCCAGGUACGCUCUCUUCUCAUCUAUUUUUUAGAACUCUAUGGACUUGUAUGCCAUUAAUGACCAUAUCCAUAUUUGACGUGAUUCUUGGAUGACUUGAUAUAUGUCUGACUUGCUUGAAUGAAACAAAUGUUGUGUGCUACAUUUCUACACCAACUUUUAUGUUCUAUGAUAGCGCUUGAAGAGCGGUUCAGGUACGCACCCUAACUCUCCUUUAUUGCAAUUUGAUUGUGUUUGGCAUGCCACUCUUUAAAAUCACCUAGCCUAUUUAGGUAUCUAUAAUUAACUAAUUAAUUGUCACACUUCCCUUAACUUUGUCAGUAGAGACCUUUAGAGGGCUUAGAGGGGUGUUACCUUUUAAAGGUACCUUCCCAAUAGAUAACCUGAUCCCCGAACUUAGACUUGGGUUUUUCAAAGACAUACUUUUUCCAAAAAUUAUGGAGUCACAUUUUAGGGUUUUUCUUUCUUGUUUUAUUUUCCCUUUAAAAUAAAAAUAAAAUAAGUGGCGGCUCCAACUUUUUUUCCAAAAAUUAAUUUUUCACAAAUAAAAAGUGAGUCUUGCCGAUCGAGUGGGGGCGCACGUGAAAAAUGCGGGUCCACAUUGUGAUAUGUCAAAUAACCCAGAUCCUGAGGACCCAAUAAAGUUUUCUCUUGUUCAGUAUAACUCGGCACCAUCAUUGCAGUUUGAAAAUGUAGAAAACAUUGGUAAUGUCGUUUCAAGUGACUGGACGCCAUGGGGGAACACUAAUAUUGGAAACUCGGGUGGAGAGUUCAUUGUUGGCCAAGUUUUUAAUUCAAAAGCAGAUUUACAACAUGCUGCGAAGUUGUACUCUAUUAGUGCACAUUAAGAGUACGUUGAUGUUGAGUCAACUACAAAGUUGUUAGUCUUAAGAUGCAAGAAGGCUAAGCAAUCUCAAUGUCCAUGGAAACUCCGUGCUCUGGUUGUAAAAGGUACAACUUCAUUUGCAAUCAAUAAAUACAAUGGUCCGCACAAAUGUGUAAAUCCUUGCUUGAAUCAGGACCAUCAACAAUUAGAUUCCAACUUGAUUGCUGCUCAUAUCCAAGGAAUGAUUAAGGCACAAUUCACAUUGUCAGUGGCUGUUAUUCAAGCAAGUAUUGUGGAGAAAUUGGAUACCAAAUAUCAUACAAAAAGACAUCUAAAGCGAAGCUUAAAGCUCUUACAAACUUAUUUGGUGAUUUUUAUAAGUCAUAUGCAGAGCUGCCAUAUUUUUUCAUUGCCUUAGAGCAGGCAAAUCCAGAAUGUGUUGUUAUUUCAAAAACAUUUCCUGGUAUUAUGGAGAAUACAGAGAUAUUUCAACGAGUUUUUUGGACAUUUCAUCCAUCUAUUGAAGGAUUCAAGCAUUGUCGACCUGUACUCAGUAUUGAUGGUACACAUUUGUAUGGCAAGUAUAAAUGCACUUUAAUGAUUGUUAUAGGCUGUGAUGGAAAUAAUCAGUUAUUCCCAUUGGCUUUUGCCCUAACAGAGGGUAAGAAUAUUGAUAGUUGGGGCUGGUUUUUGACAUGUAUUAGAACCAGAGUAACUCAUAGGAGGGGACUUUGUGUUAUAUCAAAUCGACAUCUAGGCAUUAUGGCUGCAAUGAGCGAUGUUCAUCUUGGUUGGUCUGAGCCAUACGCAUAUCAUAGGGUUUGUAUGCGUCAUCUUGCCAGUAAUUUUAUGACUCGAUUCAAGGAUAAAAUAUUGAAAAAUAUGAUGUGCAAAGUAGCCUUAGCAACCAAGAUUGAAAAAUUCAAUAAACAUAUGAACACAAUUGGGAGGAUUAAUGCAGCCGCACAACAAUGGUUGGAAGCAAUCCCUUUUGAGAAAUGAGCGCUCUCUCAUGACGGAUGUCGAAAGUAUGGCAUCAUGACUACAAACAUGUCGGAGGUGUUCUAUAGUGUGCUUAAAGGGGCUCGUAGCUUACCCAUAACUGCUUUGGUUCAAUUGACAUUUUUUCGGCUAAAUAGUUACUUUGUUGUGAGAAGGGAACAAGGUGCUAAUCGACUUGCUUCAAAUGAGGAAUACACUUCGUAUGUCGAUGCUAAGAUUAAGGCAAAUGUGGUUAAGGCGGGAUCUCAUGAGAUUGUUUUAUAUGAUCACAUCCGAGGACAAUUCCAUGUGAAGACUAAUAAGGGUACUAAGAGUAGCUCAACUCGUGGUCGAACAUAUCGCAUCAACUUACAGGAGUAUACAUGCACAUGUGGUAAAACACUCAUAUAUGGAUUCCCAUGUAGCCAUAUUCUAGCAGCAUGUCAUUUUCGUUCAGUUGAUUUUAGAUCACUUGUUCAACACUACUACAGUACACAAUUGUACUAUAAUUCUUGGGCACCCUUGUUCCAUCCUAUUUUCAAUGUAUAUGAGUGGCCUCCUUAUGAUGGUCCAAUUAUCGUGCCUUCUGAGUCAAUGAAACGUGCAUCAAGUGGACGACCUAAAUCGAGUCGUUUGCAUAAUGAAAUGGAUGUUAGAGAGGGCAAGACUUCUAUUAUAUGUGGGUUAUGCAAACAAAGUGGCCACAAUCGUCGUUCUUGUCAAAACAGUAAUAGAAUUUAUUAGACUAUGUGAUUUAUGCAUGUAAUUUUCUUGGAUAUUGUGAUGUAAGCUACUUUGAUACUACCUUUAUGCAAUUAUUGGCUUUGGUUUGAUUAUAAAUAUUGAUGUUAUUUGCAUAAUCAGGUUAUUUGUAUUUGGAAUAAUGUCCAUAUUAUAGGGGAUACUUUGUCAAAAUUUUGAAAUUUUCUAUUAAAAAUGUUAACAAAAUGCUCAAUCGUAUUUGUAUCUCUAUUUUUAAUUUAGACUAGUAUGACUUGUUUAUUGGUCAUAAAUAAAUUAAUGUACUUAAAUUUAUAAAAUUGAUAUAUACUUAAUAUAGGGAAAACUCCAUAAAUUUUAAAAAAAUUUCCAUCAGAAAUAAUUUUUUUUUUUUAAAACAAUAAGUAUUGUUUAUUUAUCUUCACAAUUUUGUUACAGAUAUGGAGUAUAGAGGACAUAGUUCUGAUCCAGAUCCAUUAGAUACUUCUGUUUUGGUUCUAUAGGAUAGACACAGGUCUCAUUUAGUUGACGCUGGCCAGGUAUGUAUAUGAAACACAUAAUAUCUCAUUAAAUAAUGGAAAAAUUUGCAGUUUAUUAUCUAACUGAUAUAUUUGUAUUUUUACAGCUUGCUUUAGUCUUGACUUGUCGACAGCAUAUAUCUAGGUUUAUGCGGGAGUGGGAGAUGGAUUCUUGUCUUCGACCUUAUAUUAUUUGAUCUGGAUUUUAUUAUGUAUACUGUAUUGGACACAUUACACUAGAUUAGGGAUUGAUCGCUAGUCUAGUUGAGAGAUGGUGUCCUGAGACACACACAUUUCACUUACCUGUUGGGGAGAUGACCAUUACUUUACAGGAUGUUGCUGUCAUAUUAGGACUUCGUAUUCAUGGGCUUCCCAUCACUGGCACAUGUGACAUAGAUUAGUCACUACUAUGUUAUGAACUUUUAGGAGUGACUCUCCCUACAUCUGAGAUUAGAGGAUCAGCGAUAUUGACACGAUGGCUAUGUCACCAAUUCUCUCAUCCACCAGUUGAUUUAGAUGAUGCCACAUUAGAGCGGUAUGCACAAGCUUUCAUAUUAGGACUCAUAGGUUCAACGCUAUUUACAGACAAGAAGGGUACCCACAUCCAUAUGUGUUAUCUCCCACUACUUAGAGACUUGACUCAGACAUCUAUGUAUAGUUGGGGCAGUGCAGUAUUAGCACACCUAUAUAGAGAGUUGUGUCGGGCGAGUUUGGAUGGUGCCACCGAUAUUGCUGGAUGUGUCACACUAUUAUAAGUAUAAUUAAUUAUUCACAUUGAUUAAAAUUUCUAGUUGCUUCAAGUUUAUAAUUUAAGUAAAAUUUUAAUGUUACAUUUUUUUUCCACUUGUGGUCUUGGGAGAGACUCCACGUGGGUCGCCCUAAUUUUGGUCGACCACCAACCCCUCCAACAGCCCAGCAUUUAGAGCAUGAUGUAGCCGAUGAUUUACCAGCUGAGCAGUUAGACCACGGAUUACAGGAUGAGGCAUUGUUACAUGAGGGUUUACCAACUGAUCAGUUAGGAUGUAGGUGGAGAGUACCUUUAUCAUGGGCUCAAAACCCAUCACGUGUGUUGACAUUUUAUCGAGACCAGUUAUAUGCACAGACCCAUGACCAGGUACAUAUAAGAUGUAAUGUGCUAUUGUUAACCAUAUAAACCUGUACUCAGUAUUAAUGUCAAAUGUUGAUUUUAACAGGUUUUAUGGGAGCCUUACAUAGGAGACUUAGUUGCCCAUCUUCCGGCGAUAUCUCUAGCAGACCAGGAGAUUUGGCGGACGAUGUCACCUCUUAUUUGCUUUGACAUUAUCGAGUGGCAUCGACCGGAGCGAGUGUUGCGACAGUUUGGCCUUCAGCAAGGGAUACCUCCAUCUUGUUCCAUAGAGCUAGACUUCCAUUCCGUGGAUAGGCGAGGACGACAUAAGUAUGAUUGGGGAGCAUUCCAUGCACAGUAUAUUUACCUUAUGGGGUAGUCGUGAGGACCGUAUUGCGACGGCACCACCUAUGGUGGGUGUUAUGCAGUUUCAUGAUCCAUAUAUGGAGUGGUACCGACGUAUUACACGACGUUUGAUCACACCCCCUCUCCAUAGAGAUCAGAUGAGGUAUCAUAGUACAGCAGCAGCUAAUCAGUUAUUGGUAAGAUUUUUUAAUUUAUAAAUGGUUUAUUAAAUUAUAAUUAAUUAAAAAUCAUUUUUGUUUGUUUAACUUUUUUUUUAUUUAUUUAUUUUAGAUCACUAGUAUGGUUGAGAUUGCUAGUCGAUCUGUUGGGCCUACUUCAGGUGCAUUAGGCGACAUUCAUCGGAUUGUUAUUGAUAUUUUGCAUGUUAUUGGAGAGGAACAUCACAUACAUUCACUCCGUCAGUCGCCUACAUCAUCAUACCCAUCCAUGAGCCCACCUGUGUCAGCCACUAUAGUUAGGAUGCAGCCUAUUCGAGGCCGAGGGAGAGGUAGUAGACGAGAUGAUGAGCGAGCUGGUCGACAGCCUCGACGAUAUAUGCAUCCACCUGAGACCAUGUUAGCACCAUCCACAUCAUCUACCCCAUUUGCACCUAAGGCUUCCACACUUCCCCCUUCACCCCUAUCAUCACCUUCACCUAGACCUUCUCUCUUAGGGCAUGUCGUAUCAGAUACCACUCUACCAUCACUUGAAUUUCCUACCACAGAGGCCACUAUACCUGAUGUCACUAUACCAGAGACUACCCCACUAUUUACUAGUCUACCAUCACCUCUACCUUCUCUCGAGGAAACCACUACACCACAUGUCACCUCACCAUCAUCACUUAUAUCUCCUCUGCUCGAGCCCACUAUACCAGAUGUUAUUGCACCAGCUACCAUUACAGUAGAUGUCAUUCUUCCAUCUCUUAUAUCACCUCUUCUAGAUGCUACCAUAUCAGAUAUCACUGUACCUGAGAUCACCCCACCAUCUACCACUUUACCAUCACCUACACGUCUUCCCAUAGAGACUACCAUGCAUCAUACCCCACCAUCUACCAUGCAUCCCACAGAGAUGUCUCUUUAUCAUAGGCGUCCGCAGAGAAAGAGGAAGACCCCAUCAUGUGGCACUCAUUGAGGACUGUUUUUUAGUUUUUGUGUUUAUUUUCAUUUGCAUUAUAUUGUUAACUUUUUUUUAUUAUGAACAAAUUAUUAUAUAUUUAAAUGAAAAUAUGAUAAAUUUUAAACUUAAAUUGAACUUAUAUAUAUACCACUUACAUAUAGCAACCUGACAAUCUAAAAAAUUGGUUUUAGGUUUAAAUUUAAACUAAUUAUAUUUAUAACUAAUUAGUUACAGCAACACUAUAUUGAUAUAGAAAAAAUAAUGUAUUAAAAAAAAUUUACAAUCUAAACCUCCAAUCAAAAUAAUUUUAAAAAAAUUGAACAUUCACAUGAUUUAAAAUUUGAACUUAAAAAAUUAGUUUUAGGUUUAAAUUUAAAGUUAUGAUCACCAACUACUAUUUUGACUAUUUUAAAAAAAAAAAUCAAAAAUCAUGAUUACCAAUUACAGUUUUGUGAUGUGAAUACCCACAUGAAUAAGACACACAUCACAUUGAAAAUUAUUUUGAGAAUAAAAUUAUUUUAUGAAUUUUCUGUUUUAAAGAAAUCAUUUUUGCCCAAAACUCCCAUUAGUACCCAAUAAGAAACAUUUUUCUUAUUAUCAAUGAAUUUACAAAAAUAUUCCAAAAGCAUUUUCAUCUAUUUACCAAAACAAUUAAACUAAAUAGUGAAUUGAUUGGAAAAAUAAAGGUAUUUUCUUUCUACAAUUCUUAUUUUAAGAAGUGGAAAAACAAAUUCUUUUAGGUUGGCAUUUUAAGUUUAACAUUUUAAGUCUUUCCAUUCCAUUUUGAUCCCAUUUUGAAAGGAGAAAAAUGGAAAAAAAAAAUUAUUUUUGUUAUAUUUAAGUAAUUUUCCGAUUAUUUACCCACUUGAAGUCAUAUUAUAUUUUGUAUAAGUGCAUAAUUGCCUUUAAUUUUUGCACAAAGUUACAAAAUAAUAUAAUAUUCUUCAUUAUGAGGGUAUAAAAUAGUAUAUUUAUAACUAAUUAUAUUUAUAUUGAGUGUAGUGCCAAAUAUUUUAAUAAAAUUAUCAAAAUAUAUUUUUAUAUCAAAUUAAAGACAUCAAUUAUUUAAUUUCAUAUAUUACUAUUCUUUAAAUAAUGAGAUCAAUUAAAGUUAAAUAUUUUUAUUACACCACUUACAUAUUUUUAAUCAAUAUAAAAUCAAUAUAAUAUAAUAUUUUAUUUAAAAAAAUUAAAGUUAAAUAUAUAUAUAUAUAUAUAUAUAUUUAUAUAUAAAAUUAAAGUUAAAACCGUAGUUGGUGACUACGGCUUUGACUGUUUUUAAAAAUAGUCAAAGUCGUAGUCACCAACUACGGUUUUAAACUUAAAGUUAAAACCGUGGUUGGUGACUACGGUUUUGACUAUUUUUAAAAAAUAAAACCGUAGUUACCAACUACGGUUUUAUGACGUGGCAAUCUACGUGGCGCAAACACAUUAGAUUGGACAUUAUUUUAGAAAUGGGGGUACUUUAUGGAUUUUUUUUUUUAAAGGUAGUCUUUUGGGUCAAAGCUCCUUUUAUUUAUAUUUAAUUUUUAAAAUAUUUUUUGUCCGUUUUCUUAAACAAUUUGAGAAAAUUUUGAAAAAAAAAAGUACAUUUUUGGGUGACCUUUGAUAUUCUUUCUCUUUUAUAUUUACCUACUUUUCAUUUUAUAGAAAGUACAAAAAUGUGAAAUACACCCAAACAUGGCAUAAAUUAUUUGAUUUAUUUCUUUAAUUUUAUCUUAAACUAUCAAAUCACAUAAAAGAAAAUAUUUUGAAUUUUUGUUCCCUCUUCUUUUAUUUUAUUUUUUUAAACAUUUACUUUCAAAAUUAAUGCUAUAGCUAGGAAGUGUUUUUCAAAACAAUUUUAGAGUAAUUAUUUGCUAUUUUAAGAAACAAAAUUGCUUUUAGGAAUUGAAUGGUGAAAAUUAGUUUUCUAUUUUAUGUUUGAUUGAGUUAAUAAAAAAGUUAAUUACAGUUUAAAAUAAGUAAAACAAAAAAUUUGUUUGAAAUAUUUUUUUAAAUUUACAAAUUUAUAAAAUAAGUGAAACAAAAAAAACUCUUGGAAGUUUUUUUUAAAUACAAUGUCUUCUUUAGUUACUUGAUUUUAUAAAUAUAAAUAAUUUUUAGAUUUAUAUUUUAUUAAAAUUAAAAAAAUUGAUCCAUUCUUAAAAUGAUUUACAUAAUUUUAAAAUUUUAAAAAUAUAUAUCAGGAAAAAAAAAAAAACCAUCAUUUUCUAGGUAGCAUAACAAGGGUAGAGAGCUUAAUUGGAUUUGAGGUUUGGUUCCAUAUUAUUGUAUCGAUGCAUUGAUUGAGGGUUUGUAGUUGUCAUCAUAGUGAGAGUUUGUUGUUUAUGUGUAAUUUAUUUAUUUAUUUAAAAAAUAAAAUAAAAUUGGUGAAACUAUCUUUUUAACAAAAUAAAUAAAUAAAUAAAACUGAAAUCUUGUUUUUAUAAUAACAAAUUGAGAUUUUUUUUAAAUAAAUUGAAAUUUUUUAAUAUAAUAAAUCUAACCAUUUUCUUAGAAUUAUGCAUUUUUAAUAAAUUUGAAACUUUUUUUUAAGUAAUAAAUUUAAAAUCAUUUUUAUAAGAUUGAAAUAAUUUUAAAAAAAUAAAUUGCAAAUUUUUUUUAAUAAAAUUGAAAAGCUUUUUUCUUAAACAAAACAUCAAAUCAUAUUUUCAAUAAAUUUUUAUAAUAAAAUUGAUAAAACAAAGGCUAUGAAUAAUUAAGGAAAAUACCCAAAAAGGGGUGGGGGUGAAUUGGGUUUUUCAAAAUCUUUUUCCACACAAUAAUAUAUGCACAAAAUAAAUAAAGGAAAGAGAUAAAGUUAGAGAAUUCAAACUCGGGUUUAUAGUGGUUCGGCACUCUUUUGCCUACGUCCACUCUCCUCAAUCUCCUAACCGAGUGAGGGUUCCACUAACUUGAAGCUUCAAUCAAACUUUCAAUCUUCUUACACUUGGAUUCCGGCUCCAAUGGGCUCUUACACAAUCUCUUCAAGAUUUGAACUACUUGAAGGCUUUCACACUCAGUUUACACAAAGAUGAAACUCUCAACCUAGCUUAAGGAUGGCUCAAGUACAAGAGAAAGCUAGGAUGAUUUACAAGAGUGCACUAAGAAUAUGCAAGUAAUGGUUUAAUGCACUAAGAAAGAAAUGAGAGCUUUUUGAUCAAGAACUGGUAGGUAGACAAUUGAUUGUAAAGGUUCUCUUAGUCAUAAAUGAAGUGGAGCUCUCAAUUUAUAGGUUUCUAAGCUCGGGAGACAAAAACAGCAGAAAGUAGCCUCGACCGGACGAGCAAAGGGUCGACCGGAUCACUAGCCGUUGGAGCAUUUAAUGCAUGACAGGUUACAGUUGCCUUGACCGGACCUCGACCGGACAAAGGUGAGGCUCGACCGGGAAGAGAAAGCUAUUGGGAGAGAGAGAAGGUUUUUGUGCCUCCCUCGACCUGACCUCGACCGGACAAGGGAAACCGGUCGACCAGUUCCCAAACCGGUUGAGCCGGUUGGCCAUAGCCUCGACCGGUUGAGCCUUUUGACCUCGAAAACCUAUCAUUUUUUAUUUCUUUCUUUUCCAAUACUUAGGCAAGGUCUUUAGGUGAGUUAAUAUGUCAAUUUUGAAUCAAAUUGCCUAAGGUAUAUUUGAUAAAACUCGGGUUUUAAAGAAAAUCAAGUUUUAAAGAAUAAACCGAGUUUUCUAAGAUGCAUGAAAAGGUAUGAACAUCCUAAGUGCACUCAUGCUAUCAUCUUACAUUCAUUUCCUAUGAUCUCAAGUCUUCCAAGGGUCUCGAUCUUGUAUACAUUUGAUCAUUUGAUGAAUUUUCGAGUUUAUACCUGAGAUUCUUAAACAUUAAACCAAUUAGUUACUUAACCAUGGUUUGUUAUCAUCAAAACCUGAUUAGGAGAACCCUUAGGCUAACAAAAAUUAAAGUAAAUAAAAUUGUAACAAUUACUCUUUUCUUAAUAAAAGUCAUUUCUUGUAAAUAAAAUUAUAUUGAAACAUUUUUAAUGAAAUGACAUUCAAUCAAUUCUUUUAAUAGCAAUAAAUCAAAAUAACUUUGGAGAAAAUGAAAUUGAAUGCGAUUAAGUAUUAAUAAAAUCAGUUGUUGUAAAUAAGUCCAGACUUCAAAAAAAAAAAAAAAAAAGGAAAUUGAAAUCAUUAGUUUGAAAUUAUUUUUGAUGCAAAUAUUAUUCUCUAAAACCUUUUAGAAUUGUGUUGUAAAUUUGUAAUGAUCAAAAUUUUUAAAUCAUUUUAAUAAAUCAAUUUAUAUUUAUUUGCAUGACUCGUUAUAUAAAUAUUAAUAUUUUUUUAAUAUUUAUGAUUAAUUAAUUAUCAUAAGUCAAAUAUUUUUACCGAGACUUAGAAGGGUGUUGUACCUUAUCAUCGUACCUUCUCAAUCGAUAAUUUAGUCACAUUUAAUUUUAUUUAUUAUUAUUUUUCCUUUAAAAACAAAUCAAAAUAAGUGGAAACUCCAAUUUUUAAAAAUCAAAAUUUCAUAAAUAAAAACGAAUCUUUCUCAUCGAGUGAGAAUACACCUGAAAAAUGCAUAUCCACAUAGUACAAACUAUAAAACUUGAAAAUAAUGGUAGCUUGUUAUAUUUACACCAAAUCUUAGGGCGUGUGUUAGUGAAAUUAAUCGAUCAUUCUUGCAUGUCAUCCAAUGGCUUUCUUCUUCUAUAUCCUUCAUGCCAAUGGCAAGAUGAUAAUAUUGGAUUAGAGUUUAAUCAAGGGGGCAAAGUAAUAAAAAUUUUACCCAAAAUUUCAUUUGGUAUUAUUAAAAUUGCCCAAUAAUUUAAUAAAUUUUAGUAAUCAUUCAUCACUCUGUUUCCACUUAAAACUACAUUGGUGUCUUUUCCAAAAGGAAAAGUGAGAUCCAAGGUCCAAAUCACAAAGAAAGAUUGGGCCGGGCUUGAGGUUGAUAACAGAACGAUUGCUCGGCCCAUGUCCAAUGGAAAAUGGAACAUUCUAUUUGAUCGUUGUCUCUGCAAUCAGUUCAUUUUUUGUUUAAGUUUUGAGUCCAGUGGAACAAUUUCUGCUUCAUGUAAAUUAAAGGAUGUUUCUUAGAUGGGCAUUUGGAUUAACGUCCUGUUUGGGAUAAUAUAUUGCUUUUUACCACAGAUGGAAUUUGAAGUUGAAACCACAUUCACAAUUUUUGAAGGGUAAUAUUGGCAUUAUAAUUUUUUUACUAAACAUCAAAUUUUUUUUUUUGGCAUAAACGAAUUCAUAUUAAUUUUUUUUUUUAUUUCAUAAGUUCUUUGAACAAAAUUAAUCAAACAAGUAUAAAAAUACGGAAAAAGAGCUUUUAACUUCUUAAAAAUCUACUUAUCAAGAGCUAAAUAUUGUUUUAAGCUUGUAUUAAUGGGAUGAUAUGAGGAGGUUCAUACAGGUGUAUCAUUUCAAUUGGAUGUUUGAUUUUGAGAAAUGACCAAGACUCACCAUCAUGAUUAAUGAAGGAUCAAAUUCUCAACCAACACCAAUCAACAAAGUGUAUAGGCGUGGGAAGACAUAGACAAUAUAUUCUAAAGAAUCUUUCUGACAGAGGGGGAAGAUCAGGAGGUGGGUGAGGCAAAAUCUGCAUCCUGUCCUUGCCCUUCUUCACAAGAAAAGCCAUAGAAAGCCCCCCAUGUUGUGUGCACGUCGAGUAUGGCAGUGCAUGAACCACACUCCUGUAAACAACACCCCGCCCCCUCCCACCCCCCCAAGCUUGCCAAUUGAUUCAUCUGAUUUUUCAAACAGCAGCUUCUCAAAUCUGCUGUCUAACACCCUCAGUAGCAUUUGUCACUGAAUCUGUCUGGAGAAGUUGUUGUUAAUGACAGCAUCUCAGCCAAAUAAAGAUGAUGAAGGCCAAGGAUAGGGCCUUAGCUCACGGUACUGUUCUACCAACCAGGCAAAAAGUCUUUGGUUUAUUUUAUUAUAAAAAUAAUUAUUUAUUUAAAAAUUUUAGUUAAAUACUUAAAACGAUAAAGGAUAUUUAUGUAAACAAUGAGUUACUUAAAAAAAAAAUAUAAGAGGAGUUAGAUUAUAAUUUAGGGAUUAAUUAAUCAUUUUUAAUCAAAUAUUUUUUUAUAGCAAUUUUUUUCUAUAUUUUUGAAAUAAAAAUUUGUUUAAAAACUUGAAAUGUUCUCUAUAUAUUUUUAUAUUUUCAAAUAUUUCUUAGAAAUAACUUUUAUAUAUAAUAUUUUAUUUUUUUAUUAUUCUUUGUGUUUAUAAAAUUAUUUUUUAAGUCUUUAAAAAAAUGAAAAACAAUUAAUAUAUGUUUUAAAAAGAAUAUCCUAUUUUUGAUAACAAAUUUUCAAAAAAGUUUUCAUUUUCUGUAAAAAAAAAUUAUUAAAUGUAUUUUUGAAUAUACAAAAUAGUUUUUUAUUUUUAACAAUGUAAAACUAUUUUUAAAAAUAAUUUUCAAAUGAAUUCCAAAAUUGAUCAUUCCCAAAUCACUAAAUAAAAUCUAAGUUUAUAGUAUAUUGGAUAGAGGAAUAAGUUUUUAAAACUAUAUAAAAUCUAAGUUUAUAAUAUAUGGGAUAGAGGAAGAAGUUUUUAAAACUAUAUAUUUUUUGUCCUUUUCGCUACAUGGAUAAGUUUUACACACGGUAAAAGUAAACUCUAUCACAUGAGGACAUUUCAAAUAAUAAUAAAAUAAAAUAAAAAAUUUGUAUCUUUUAGGCUUAUUACUUAUUAAGGAAGAGCUUUCAAAAAGAAAAAUUAGUCCAAAUAUUAAAAAAGUUAAAAGUACUUAUUAAAAUCACUCUUAAAUGGGUUCUAAAAUAUUUAUUAUCGCUGUUAAUAAUGAAUUCAAAUGAAAGGUAUUUUUAGAAGAUACCGUAUUUUUUAUUUUUGGUAUUUCCGCUUUCAGAAAAUAGCUCUCAUAUUUUUAAUUUUUUUAGAAAAUUAAAAAAUAUUUUCAAAAAACUGUUGUGAAACAGGAUCUUAAUCUUCUUCUCCUUUUUAAUUACUCGUUCAACGUAUAGGGGCAGUCAUGGAGGGGACCAGGAUGACCAAUGACCAUUCAUAAUGUAGGCAUCUGAGCCAAGCGGGCCUACCCCUGAUUCUCCCACAUGCCUCCUCUACCCUCUCAAUAUAUCUUCAAGUCGAUACCCUCCUUUCAGAAAAGCCAAAAAACAAGUUACUGAAGUCGCAGAUGAAUUUCCAUCCAUCCACUAUUAUUCCGUAUAAGCCCUUUUACCCUUUACAGUAUGCUUUUACAUUUUAGGUAAGUAGGACAGAAGCACAUUGACAAGCCCAAUUUGCAUUCACUGUCUCUCUGCAUGUUCAAGAGCAUUAAAGCAAGACCCAGAAAACUUGGUGAAUGAAGGAUGAUGGGAGAAGAUUUUCAAGUUGAAUAUGGAGGGACAUGGAUUGAAGUUUGGUCAGUUUUUUCAUUGAAGCUGUCUGAACUUUUACAAUCCCUUUAAUGUUGAAAUCUUAGAACAUAGAUUACUUUUCUUUAGAACAAGAAUAUUUUUCUAAUUUUGGGAAAAUUUUCAGCUAAUUUCUUUAAAGCAUCUUAGGUUAGAAAAGGAAGAGUUGAUGAUUCCUCAAAGAGGAUAAGAAAUGAAUAAAUUAUCAUAAUUUAUUAUCAUGAGAAGUGAAUUUAUUUUUUCAUUUUAUAUGUAUAGAAAAGAGAAAAUAAAUAAAUUUAAUUAUUUCUUUUUAGUUAUGAAUGGUUGUACCCAAUUUAACCUUCCAUCAUUUCAUUUACACGUGAUGUCUAUCAAAAUCCAACUUUCUUGUUUUCUAUCCACCAAACCAACUUUGUUUUGUUUGCUCAAAAUUGUCGACUCUCACUUAUAUGCCCAAGCAGCACAUAUCAUGGUCUGGUAAUACCUAAAAUUGAUACUAUGGAUGAAGUUGUAGCUACAUUGACAAUCAUGUUAGCUUAUAAUGUGUAAAGACUAUUAAUUUUUUUUGUCUUUUCUUUAGAUCAAGAGCACUCUUUCGGAUUCUCAUGACUCUACUUUCAUCUUUAUAUGUGCGCCCAUUGGAGUAGAGGGUACCUAAAGAUACUAAUUUUUUUUUAAAACAUUUAAACGUGCCCUAUGUGAGUACAAUAAAUUUAUAGGCUACAUUGUUUUCCAUGAGAACCUUUCUAUCAUGUAUAAUUUGGUAGGUAUUAAAUCAAUCCUUAUAGGAAAACAUACAAUAGGGAAAUCAUGAAUUAACAAUCUACUCAUCGUUAAAGUUACUGAUAGCAACUAAAAGGAUAUAUGCAUUAUCUAAAUUUUUUACUCUACAAUUGCCACAUCACCAUAAGUGUAAGUUAUGAACUUGAGCUAAUUCACCUAGGUUAAUCACCCAAGAUGGGGGAUAGGGGAUGAAUUGGGUGAGGUUUAAUUUUGCAAAAUUUUAGCCAAAUGAAUCUAUACAAUCCCCAUGUUCUCGAUGUUGCACCUUGUGUUCCUUCUUAAUGGAUACCUCAACCUUAUGGUAAUGCUAGUGGUUCAAACAUCUUUUUUUAUGUUCAAAGAUUUUUUCAAGAUCACUCUUGAAAGUUUUAGAGAUGGAGAACUAAGGCAAUAAGGGUAACUACAUUAUUGUGCAUCGGAUACAACUCAAUGAAAUCAUCUAUUUGUACCAAAAAAAAAAACCUAUAAAACAUUUCUAAAGAGCAAUUCUAAACUUAAAUUCACAUAAACACUAAUAAAAAUAUAAAAGUCAUAUCAAAAUUUGUAAAAUAGAGGACUAACGUCCCAAUGGGACAUUUGGAUUCCAAUUUUGUGUAGUGACCAUUUUUCAUGUUUUCUCCAAAAUGUAACCUAACUUAUUUAUCAUAGUCAUGAAGCUCUAAUCACUUCAAAUACACAUAAACCUCAAAGCCAAAUAGUUUUGAAUUAGUUUGAAGUUGACUAUAAUCAAUAAGAACUUCGGAAGAAAUCCAACUUAGUGCAUAAAUGGAACAAAAAAAUUGUCAACUAAACGAAUACAUCAACACAACUCAACAAAUUGGUCUUUAAUGAAUGUACAUUCUUUCAUUUGGAGAAUGAACUAUCAUUUUUUUUAAAUACAAGUGAUUCAUAAAAAACUUCAUCAUAUAGAAAAUUUUCACUUUCAAUUAUAACUUGGCAGUCAUAUCAUUUUUUGAAAUAUCGUGAAGUUCCUUCUUGCCCUAAUACAACAAAAUAGACAUCAAUUGUUUUUUUAUAAGUAUAUCUUAGACAUCACUCCUAACAAAGUCUUCCUACCUUUUAUUACUUUGAACAACCCACUUAUAUUAACAAGGCAAACAUCUUAACUUAUUAUAAAUUAAAUUCACUUUUUAUAUCAAACUUACGCUAUCUUAUGUCUAUUAACCUUAACUCUCAUAUUAGUUUAUUGUGAGAAGCCAAGAAAAACAACAAAACACACACACACACAUAAAGUGCAAAACAAUUUACAUUUAGUUUAAAGCCUACAUUAGAUGGCAAAAUGACGAAGAACUUCUAUUAUUGUUCCACAAUAUUACACUUAUAAAACUCUCAUUUUUUUAAAGCCUACAAAAAAAAAAACCUCUUUCAAUGAAAAUCUUUUUCUAUAUUUUUUUUAAUUACAUAGAAAUAUUAUAUACAAAAACUAAUUAUUUAAUUAAAAAAUAGAUAUUUUUUUAUAAAAAGAAUCUGAUAAUUUAUUUUGUAAUAAAAUACAAUUUUCUUAUACCAGGCUUUUAAUAAAUAAAAAAAAUCAAACAUUUGUAAACAAAUACACUUGAAUAGAAUUUGAAACCCUCUGCAACAUGAAGUAUCAAACACUUCUCAACAUUUAUGGUUGAGGGGUGGCAAUAGACGGAUGGCUUCAUUUUUUAAGUUGACUCUCCACUACCACAACAACCAUUGAACUUAGGAAAAUGUUAUUAUACUCUACUCCAAUUUUAUGAUGAGAUUUAGCUCAUUUAAUCAAAGUAUAAAUAAAUAUGAUUAAGAUAUAAUGGUACAAAUAGAUGAAAUUAUAAUAUAAAUAAUGAGCUUUAAAAAUAUGCAUUUGGUACCAUUUGAUUGGUGAUAUUUUUCUGAGAACCAUAGAAAAAGAUUAAAAAAAAAAAAUAGGGCAUUCAUGCUAUGAAUGUACCCUUAAACUUUAGACCACGGAGAGUUGCAUGUAUCACAUUUUUAAACCAAUGGGACUCCCAAGAUCCCUUCCCCUUGGUGUUAAAGACACAAGGAAUCUGAAAAUGAGUCAAAUGCACUCCCCCCAGCUACCACCUCAGUUAGGGACUGGAGUACAGAUACCACAUCAAAAUCCAAAAUUUCACGUAAACAUGAUUGACACCCUAUGACUCUGAGAAUAUCAAGAGAUGAAAUCAUGUGGUUGGCAGGGAUUACAGAAUUGGGAUUCAGUGAUCUACUACCAUCUAUCAGGAAAAGGUACACCAACUCUGCAUCCUGAAUUCCUCAUACUACAGUAGUACAGUGAUGCCCACCCAUUUAAUUCUGCAUGUGCCAUUUCAGUGAAGGAACUCUCCAUUCCAGGGAAGAAUGGAUUCAGGACACUCGCCCUCUAAACCACCAAUAAAAUGUGUGCCCGGCGGCCCGCUCACUGCCCUGCACAACAUUUUAUCACUUAACCACACCAGUACACUUCCUCUCCUCUUCUAUGCGUGAUCCCAAAUUGGUUCAUCAUUUUUCCAGAAAAGCCUUCAACGGAUGAAGUUGAAAUGUGUAACCACCCUUACAUAUUUUUAAAGAGUCCACACAAAAUUUAACUAAAAUUCCAGUAUAGGUGAAAUAUAAUGGAGACUAAUACAUUAAAUUUUUAUUAUUAUUCAAAUGGAAAUGCUGAGGUGGCAAAAUUUGUAGAGGUCUUGGAAGGAGGGGAAACUAUACAGUUGAGGAGCUAAAGACCCAAAAGGACCCAACUGCCUAUGGCCCUGUUCUCUGUCUGCAGGAUGAUAAAAAUUACACAACAAACAUUGCUUUCUACUUUCUAAUGCCAAGAGAGACCAGAAGCCACUGUACAACAACCACCUCCCCACAUGCCUAUCUCAUAAUGAUUUCUUCAUUCCCUCUCAUGUCAUCAGCCCCUUCCCAUGUCUUUGCCUGCAAAUUCCCCGCCUCUAUAUGUGGCCGCUGCUGCAGCCACAUCAAGGCCUCCUCCAAUGGAAGUGAUUAAAGCUGAUAACCCUCCAGAGGGGCUGCCACUUGCUGCCAUCCCCAACCCCAAGAGAUCUAAGGUAGUCUGCUUUGGACCAAACAAGGAAGGAGUUCCCAUCAUUAGUUCCUUCAGCCCGGAACCUUCAUCGCAGGGAAGCCCAAGUCCCAGCCCUGCAGCCACAGACGUGCUUUCUGGCUCCAUUUGCUGGCGGUUCCACUGUAGAUUCUCUUGCUGCCCGGAUGAAGAAGUAGAUGAAACUAUUCCAAAACCACGCAGCAGAGAGGCAUUUGUUGCAGCCGCACCCAUUUGAGCUGCCUUCUGUAGUAGGGCUGUGGCAGACAUGGCAGGCUGUGGUGGUGGCGCAUAUUGCCUGCGCUCUUGCCCAGCAGUUCCAAAGAUUGACGAUCCGUGAUUGGUAGAUAAGCAGAGAGAAAUGGGCUCUGUGGAAGAAGAUGGUGUGAGUUCAGUUGGGCGAUCAGGACGAGUCAUGACUCGGCUUAAGCCCGAGAAUCCAGUAGCUUGGGGUUGUUGUAAGCUUGCCGAUGCAGUGGAUGAAACAAACAAGCUGGCAAAUGCACUACUGCUGGUGGUACCAUUACUGCUCGAGCUAGUACUGCUACUACAGCUUGCAUUUAGGCCGGUGGCAGCUGGUGGGGCUUCUUCCAAGAUCUGAGUUGGAUUCUCCGGCAACUCUGGUACAGAGCCCAAAAGAAGUUUAAAAAAAAUGGGGUUAGCUGUUUAGAAAGGAGGGAAAGUUAAGCUUUUCUUUAAUGGAACUUUAGAAGAAAAGGAGAGCCAAUCAUGGCAUCCUUUCCCAAACCCACUUCUCUCAUCUUUUUAGCUUUUGAAUCUCUUGGGUUUCUUUAUCAAUAUUGCACAGAGAUUGAAUCUUCCGUCGAGAAGACGAAAGCCCCUCUAAGCUGAUAUGAAUGAAACAUGUAUUUUCAGAUGAGAACAAACCUCAGUAACCGACAAAACUGCUAGACUCCAAGAUUUAGAGAGAGAGAGUGAAACAACAAAGAUUUUGUUGUUUUUUCUCUAACAAAAUCAUAUCCGACAAAAAUCAACCAAAACCAUUUCAAAAUUAUCCAAUUUCGGAUCUUGUUACCUGGACUCUGUAUCGGCAAAACUGCUGAUAUUACAGCAGUUGACGGAGCAACAGCUGGUGCAGGGGGAGGAGGAGGGGGAGGCGGCGGCGGGGGUGACUCGAUCUUUGGGUCUUCAUCUGAAUUUGGAUUGGCUACCGCUGUCUGAGUCUGGGUUUUGGCGCUCUCCUCCGCCAACGCGUCGCAGAAAGCCCUGUGGGUGAUGAAGCUAUCCCUCCUUCAAAUAACCAAAGCAAAGAGCUUUCAAGAUCCCAAAACCCCAAAAAACCAUACUUGAAAAGAUGUAGAAUGUACAAGAAGGAAGAAACUAAGAACCUUGAAAACAAAGUCCCACAAUCGCACUUGUACUCCCUUGUUCCACAAAUCUUCGAGUGAGCUUUCCAAUCAGAUUGAACUGCGUAUUUCUUCGAACACUUGUCGCAUUUCCACUUCUUCUCCCCAUGUUUUCUGCAAAAAUGCUUCUUUAUCCCCGUCAAAUCGCCCAAAGCUCUCGACGGUUCGUGAUGAACGCAAGAUGGCUCUGGACAAACAUACACUCGCUUCCGAACCUCUUUACUUGACCUCUGCCGCAGCUUCCAUGGAAGAUUAUGACCCCGGCGAUGAAGCUGCA
rnacentral:lncRNA from 1 species